rnacentral:lncRNA from 1 species
UUUUUAUUUUCUGAAAAAUGUUCAGAAAUAAAAAAAUGUUCGUGUUUUCCAAAAAAAAUCCAAAUAUAAAGAAAUGUACUUUCUUCAAAUUUUGUUCAUAAAUGUAAAAAAUGUUCAAAAUUGAAAAAACUUUAGAAGUUCAAAAAUUAUUCUCUUAUUUCCAAAAAGAGUUCAAAAAUUUCAAAAAUUUAAAUUUCAACCACGAUUUAAUAUUUGAGAAAAUUUUCACAUUUCUCCAAUUUUGUUCACAAAUUCAAAAAAUGUGCAGCAAUUUCCAAAAAAUGUUCUUGUUUGAAAAUUUGUUCACAAAUUCGAAAACUGUUUAGUAAUUUUAAAUAUUGUUCUUGUUUUCUAAGUUGUUCAUGUUUUUAAAAUUGGUUCAGAAAAUCAAAAUGUUUACGGGGAAUUUUGAAAAAUGUUCGCAUUUUACGAAAAAUUGUUCGUAUGUCAGAAAAUGUUUAUCUUUUCAAACUCAGUACCUUUUUUUGAAAAAAUGUUCGGAAUUUCCAAAAAUCUUUGCAGUUUUACAAAAUAUGUAUGAAUACUUUAAAGUUUUAUUCCCAUUUCCUUUCUUCAUAAAACUGUUUGUGUUUUCCAUAAUAUUUUCAAAUAAUUUAGAAAUUUAUACGGUACAACAAACAAGGUACUUCUUAAACAUUUUGCGAUGCCAAAAGUCAGUUGUAGCAUUUCAACAACCAUUUAACAUUUGAGAAAAUGUUCACUUUUUUAAAAUUUUGUUCACAAAUUCAAAAAAUGUGCAGCAAUUUCCAAAAAAUGUUCUUGUUUGAAAAUCUGUUCGCAAAUUCGAAAAUUGUGUAGUAAUUUCAAAUAUUGUUCUUUUUUUCUAAGUUUGUUCAUGUUUUUAAAAUUGGUUCAGAAAUUUAAAAUGUUUACAGGGAAUUUUGAGAAAUGUUCGCAUUUUACGAAAAAUUGUUCGUAUGUCAGAAAAUGUUUGUCUUUUCAAACUUAGUUCCUUUUUUGAAAAAAUGUUUGGAAUUUCCAAAAAUCUUUGCGGUUUUACAAAAUAUGUAUGAAUACUUCAAAAAAUUUGUCCCAUUUCCUUUCUUCAUAAAACUGUAUGUGUUUUCCAUAAUAUUUUCAAAUAAUUUAGAAAUUUAUAUGGUACAACAAACAAGGUACUUCUUAAAUAUUUUGCGAUGCCAAAAGUCAGUUGUAGUUAGGGAUGUAGGACGGCGUCCCCCAAAGUCCCGCGAAACAGCCAAGCUAGCACACAGCUAGUAUAAAUUAAUCUGGCGCACUUCAAUCUGCCUAGAACUAAAAAUUUUACCAUUGAAUUAGAAGCGGGCCGGGUUCGGGCGCCGCCCUGCAACCCUAGUUGUAGUUGUUGGCUGUAGUGGCCAACAUCACUACUAGACACUCUGGCGGUCAUGAGUUUGAGUCCUUCCUCCAGCUCAUCCUAUUGCAAUUUUUCUCGCCCUAGUUUUUUUCUCCGGGCUAUCUAGCCUCGGUGCCCUGGAGUGGGCCGGCCCAGCCGCGGCCCUCCCUGUGUGUCAGCGUGUUAUUGGACGCAGCGAGCGUCCAACAUGAGCUCCCCUCUCGGAAAACCCUAUUCACCAGUAGCUGCGGCGAACUGUCGGGAGUUCGCACAGGGGCAAGCAUGCGAGCGAUGCGACAUGGGCCGGCCCACUUUUAACUUUACACAGUGCGGUCAAUGGUUUUGGGAACCUUCUAGAAGGUUCCCUCGAUCGGGUGUUUUCAUGUGAUGUUUCUUUUCUGGUUAUUCCGGGUUUCAUUCGGUUUUUGCUUUCGUUUUUUCCUUUUCCUGCUGCUUUUUUCUGUUUCUCCUUUUCUUUUCAUUUCUUUUCUUUUCACUUUUACUUUUUGUUUUACUUUUUUCAUGUUUUUUAUUUUCCAAAAAAUGUUCAGAAAUUAAAAAAUGUCCGUGUUUCCCAAAAUUUGUCCCUAAUAUAAAGAGAUGUAUUUUCUUCAAAUUUUGUUCAUAAAUGUAAAAAAUGUUCAAAAUUGAAAAAACUUUAGAAGUUCAUAAAUUGUUCUCUUAUUUCCAAAAAGAGUUCGAAAAUUUCAAAAAGUUUAAAGUUUCAACAACCGUUUAACAUUUGAGAAAAUGUUCACAUUUCUAAACUUUUGUUCACAAAUUUAGAAAAUGUGCAGCAAUUUCCAAAAAAUGUUCUUGUUUUAAAAUUCACAAAUUCGAAAACUGUUUAGUAAUUUUAAAUAUUGUUCUUGGUUUCUUAGUUUGUUCAUGUUUUUAAAUUUGGUUCCGAAAUUCAAAAUGUUUACGGGGAAUUUUGAAAAAAUGUUCGCACUUUACGAAAAUUGUUCAUAUGUCAGAAAAUGUUUGUCUUUUCAAACUUAGUUCCUUUUUUGAAAAAAUGUUCGGAAUUUCCAAAAAUCUUUGCAGUUUUACAAAAUACUCCCUCUAUAAACUAAUAUAAGAGCGUUUAGAUCACUACUUUAGUAUUCUAAACGCUCUUAUAUUAGUUUACGGAGGGAGUAUGUAUGAAUAUUUUCAAAUUUUGUUCCCAUUUCCUUUCUUCAUAAAAUUGUAUGUGUUUUCCAUAAUAUUUUCAAAUAAUUUAGAAAAUUAUACGGUACAACAAACAAGGUACUUCUUAAACAUUUUGCGAUGCCAAAAGUCAGUUGUAGCAUUUCAACAACUGUUUAACAUUUGAGAAAAUGUUCACAUUUUAAAAAAAUUGUUCACAAAUUCAAAAACUGUGCAGAAAUUUCCAAAAAAUGUUCUUGUUUGAAAAUUUGUUCACAAAUUCGAAAACUGUUUAGUAAUUUCAAAUAUUGUUCUUGUUUUCUAAGUUUGUUCAUGUUUUUAAAAUUCAUUCAGAAAUUCAAAAUGGUUACGGGGAAUUUUGGAAAAUGUUCGCAUUUUACGAAAAAUUGUUCGUAUGUCAGAAAAUGUUUGUCUUUUCAAACUUAGUUCCUUUUUUGAAAAAGUGUUUGGAAUUUCCAAAAAUCUUUGCGGUUUUUCAAAAUAUGUAUGAAUACUUUAAAAUUUUGUUCCCAUUUCCUUUCUUCAUAAAACUGUAUGUGUUUCCCAUAAUAUUUUCAAAUAAUUUAGAAAUUUAUAUGGUACAACAAACAAGGUACUUCUUAAACAUUUCGCGAUGUCAAAAGUCAGUUGUAGCUGUUGGCUGUAGUGGCCGACGUCACUACUAGAAACUCUGGCGGUCAUGAGUUCGAGUCCUUCCUCCAGCUCAUUCUAUUGUGAUUUUUGUCGCGCUAGCUUUUUUUUCCGGGCUAGCUAGCUUCGGUGCCCUGGGGUGGGCCAGCCCAAGCCGCGGCGCUCCCUGUGCGUCAGCGUGUUAUUGGACGCAGCGACCGUCCAACAGGAGCUCCCCUUUUACCCAGGCAGUGUGUUUUACCCGUACAGUUGGGUUGGUUGUCUAUUACAGCUGAUGGGCUUCUUUUUCCUUCCGUAAUUAUCGGACGUAGGAGGCCUACUGGGCCAUGGCCUAGUAAGCAUUCCGUUUGGCUGUUGUUUACUCCAGACGAAAAGGACCACGGUCUUUUUCUCAGAGAAAAAGAGGAUGAUUGGUCGAUCGCUCCACCUCCCCACGAUCCCCGCCUGUUCGUCUAUUCGAGACGGCGGCACCGUGGGUCGAUCGGAGACGGAACGGCGGCGUAUGGAGGCUGGCCUGGGAUGGGCGUGUGGCCAGGCGAUGGGCUGAGCCGGAGCUGAUCCAUCCCAGGAACGACUUGUUACAUCGGCGAGUGGCUGCUUGUCCAUUCCUUCCUGAUUACUCUAUUAGGUAAGAUUGCUAACUUUUGGAGAUUGAUAUUAGGAUUUAAAAUUUGAGGUUAGAGCAUGCGGAGUUGGUCAUUGAGGUUAUAUAUUACUUCAAUUGAAAAUUACAUUUGUAUAGUCAUUAUGUUCAUAAUUUCACUUCGUCAUUUAAUGUAGAAUUGGUCUGGGAUUUUGGUGCUAUUUUAUAUGUUUUAUAAUCAAAUCAAGGUGUAUUUUUACUGGUCAAUUUUUUGAAAACCAAGGGAUUACCUGAUAAUUCAUUGGAACCUAAUAUUUUUUGCUACACGUUUAGGUAGUGUGAAUAAAACCCGUAUGCAUCUUUUAACACAAAAUACCCCUAGUCUCGUGGAAGUGCUUUCGAGGUCCCGGGAUCAAUUACCCAUCUUGCCAGCAUACGCCAAACCAGCGCAUUACGGAAAGGAUUAUGGAGGAGUCAAACCCGCACAUUAGGGAAAGGAUUGACGUGUGUUGACCACUAGAAUGCAAAGAGAUUUGUGUAUACGAAGGGUUAAAUAUUAUGUAUUCCGCAUACAAAUAAAUUUGAAUUUAAUUUUUUUAAAUGCUUUUAGGCAAAAAAAGCCAAAAAUAUUGAGAAUUUUCAAAACCCGGCUCUUUCGCCCUCGCAGAAAACCCGGUAUCAAGAAGAAAAACUUAAGCCAAACACCCAAAAAUUCUAAAUUAUACACUUAGGUUUAAACUUGCCCAGACUUCACAAAAUUACUGGCUCCACCUCUGCAACCAGUUAAAGGUGGCCAUGUACAGAGCUAGCAAGUUUCCAAUCGAUUGGCUCAAGGGAAGCUGUCUAAUCCACGUACGCUUGUGUCAGAUCACGGGCUAACAUAUCAACUUUGCCCAAGCCAAUAGCACUAAUCGGCAUUUCCUAGGCAUACAUGCCCUAAUUCGCCUCUUACAAGCUGUCAGGCCCUAAUCGGCUUGGCCGUAACAGAGGCCGUAUUAGGCCUCCUUUGGUUUGGAGGAAUUUCAUAGGAAUUUUAGAGGAUAGGAUUCUUAUAGGAUUUUUUUCCUUUAGAGUCUUUUGGUUCAUAGGAAUGGAUUCCUAUUCCUACAUAGGAUUGGUUCCUAUCCUCCACAUUUCAUAGGAAAAUAAAAAUGAGCCUAGACUCAAUGGAAAAAUUCAUUUGGUGUCAACCAAAUGACAUCUCGUUUCCUAUUCCUACUCAUAGGAUUUGAGAUACAUGUCAUCUCAUUUCCUACAAAAUUCCUAUUCCUACGAUAAUCCUAUCCUAUGAACCAAAAGAGGCCUUAUUUGUGAAAAUUCUCAAAUCUACCGAAAAUCCAUCUCUGCACUCGAGCUCAUCUGCACCUCGCUGACGAAAAAAUCAAAACAAAUACUGGAAAAAUUCAAAAAAUUCUAAUUUUUUAUGCGGUAGAAAAUGUCAUGAGUGAGGUUCGCUCCAAUUUUCAAAUUAUUUGGACACCGGAGGAGCUUCAGCAAAAAAGAUAAAUUGGGGGUCUGUAAAAAUAUUUACUGUUCAUGUACUGUCUUGGCCCAAUUUGUCUUUUUUGCUGAGAGUUGCUUAGAUGUUCAAAUGAAUUGAAAUUUGUAACAUGCCUAACGCGUCAAAUUGUCUGACGCACAAUUUUCUUUGGAAUUUUUAAAAUUUGUUUUGAAUUUUUUACGAAUUUUUUUCUAACCGGGAGCAGAUGAGCCUGGGCAUCGAAACGCCCUACUUCAAAUCUAUGUAUUAUUUCUAGAAAUUAAGAAUGUAAGAGGAAAGAAGGAACCAAACAGAAAAACUGAAAAAGGACGCACACGCGCGUCAAUAAGAUCCACCUUUAAACCCGCGUGACUCUAUAUGGUGCAUAGGGCGCCCCCUAGCUCCCUUGUGCGCCUACUGGGCUAGCCCAUAUCGGGCGCGAGGUCCCCCAGUUUAUCUUUUUUAUUUAAUGUUUCUUCAUAUCCAGUGGAAAAUUCGUGAACAACUUUUUGUUCAUAAAAUUAAAAAAAAUCAGCCGUGUUAAAAAAUGAUCAAGAAUUCAAUAAUGUUAAUCGGAUUUAAGAAAUGUUCAUCAAAAUUCAAAAUUUGUCCAUCGAACUAAAAAUAUGUUCACCAAAUUCUAUUUUUGUUCUAUAUUUUCAAAAAAAUGUUCAUCAAAAUAAAAUUUUGUUCAUUGAAUAAAACAAUUAUUAAUCUUUUUUCACAAAAGUGUUCUGAAAUACAAAUUUUUUUCAUCAAAUUCAAUGUUUGUUCAUUGAAUAAAAAAUGUGUUCAUCAUUUUUCUAAAAAUGUUCUUGAAUAAGUUUUUAGAACUUUUUUUGAUGCCAAAUUAUUUUAACAUAGAAUAAAACCAAAAUAGAAAAAAGUAAAACCCGAAAACGAAAAUAAUAUAGGGCGCUCGCCGCCCCAUACAUGGGCCGGCCCAAUAGGGCACCUGUGGGGCUGGAGAGUCCGCGGAGGGCAGUUAGUAAAACCAAACUAAACCAAACUACCUUGAUUUGCUAGUUACGUAUGGAUUGAUUCGCUAGAAGGCAGGUUGACCUGAGGCCUGAAGUGUGCGCUAGUUUCUUUGCACUGUCGCCCUUGUACAGGAUUUGCAAGUCCGGCGACACGCCGGACUUCCGGUUCCGGCAGGCGGCGAAGUCGACUUGGCAGAAGCUGUCGAUCAGGUUGUCGCACCGCUCUGCAUGGCGGUAAAUAACAGUAACGCCAUGGCCGCGACGGCGUCGGAGGUCAUGAAGGCUAUUGCCCAUUGGUUGUUCUAUUCUAAGUAGGUCAGUAGGGUGUCGGAGAAGAGGGAGGCCACAGUAUGUGCCAGGUAGAAGUAGUGGAAAAAAGGUUGUCCUGGACUGAUCGUCGUCGAACUGAUCGGCACCGAAAGUUGGUAUGUUUUUGCCAUAUCCACCGUAGCCGAAGGCGAUCAGGUAGAUCACGAAGUAGAACACACCCAUCACCAUGCCGGAGUGUGACGCGCAUGGCAUAUGUGUUGUGCCGCAGUGGACCGGAUAGAUCAGGUACAGGCGCGACAAGAGCGCGAGCAGCUCGACCCCCUGCAGUGUGACAAAAGAGUAAGGGCCUGUUCGCAUGGGGGCGGUGGAGGGUGAUGGAUCUCGAGUAGUAUAGGACUUACCAAGGCAAAGAUUGCUUGGAAGAUGAUGCACGUCAUGUAACGGCCAAGGUAACAAUCACCGAGAAGGGGCAAAAGUGUUAGUCUCUUGUGGUGUUUCUUAGACUUCUGGGUCUGUAAUAAUAAAGUAGAUAUAUUUCGUUGGUUUGGAGAGAACUGUGCUCUCAGGUUUCUUAGUAUGUCCCCUCCCCUCUGUCGCCCCCGCGCGGGCGACCGAGGGGCACUAACCCUAGCCNNNNNNNNNNNNNNNNNNNNNNNNNNNNNNNNNNNNNNNNNNNNNNNNNNNNNNNNNNNNNNNNNNNNNNNNNNNNNNNNNNNNNNNNNNNNNNNNNNNNNNNNNNNNNNNNNNNNNNNNNNNNNNNNNNNNNNNNNNNNNNNNNNNNNNNNNNNNNNNNNNNNNNNNNNNNNNNNNNNNNNNNNNNNNNNNNNNNNNNNNCUCAUGUAAUUGCUGACCGCCUCGGAAGACAAGCAGAGGCGCACCCGAAGCUCUUGAAUCCGUCGGGCAUCUCCGCAUGGAAGAACUCCAUCAGGGGCAUGUACAUCAACACGUCAGACGUUCCCAUUACCGCGUACUGCGGCACCUGCCACAAGAUGUGCAGUUCGUUGUUGUUUGCCUCUGUCGUGCUGGCUUUCUUCCUGAAGAUCUCGACUGUGCCCGCGAUGGCCAUGGCCAGUGCGCCGAGAACAAGGCCAGCCCCCAUUCUCUGCAGGUCGGUAGGUCCGUCCGGGCGUCCGGUGAGCCAUGCGAGGAGCCGGCAGAUGACCGAGUCGAACACGACUAUCGUGUUUGCCACGGUGAGGAGGUUGGACGGAGACAUGCUUGAGGGUGGUAUUGUGAAUGCUCCCUACAUCGUGGUUCGCCUCAUCGCGCUACCUUGCAAGUAAACUCAAACCAAAUUAACUACAACCCAAACCAAGUAUGAUGCAUGGCAAGGUUAAAUGCUGUUACUCAUGGUAAAAGAUGAUGAUUGCCAAAUUAACAUCAGGAUGCAUGAAGAUUAGAUCAUUUUACAUAUAUAAAUCAUCUCCAUAAACAUGCACAAAGCUAUAAGCCUCACAAAAUGCAACAUGAUAUAGUUUACAGAAAAAGACUUGGUCGUUUUCAGGCCAAUAUUUUUUAAAUAAUACAUUUGUCCAUAAUUUCUAUAAAUAAUACAUAGAUUUGAGAAUUUACACAAAUAAUACGGCCUCCGUUUCAGCUAAGCCGAUUAGGCUCUGUCGGCUUGUAAGAGGCCCUAUACCUGUCGGCUUGAAACCUCGAUUUGUGUGACACAAGCGUAUAUGCAUAGGGCAGCGAGCCAAUUGACUGGAAAUUUGCUAGCUCUGUACAUAUAUGAUUCAAAACUUCUGAAGAUAAUAUUUCUCAAACGAUGAAUCAAAAUUUUAAUCCGUUAGCACCAUCAUGAUGUGCAUGACAAAUUCUAUAGAAAGAGCCCAAUAUCAUUAUUUCAUAUAAAAAUGUAUGUCGUGGGACCCACAUGUCAUAGACAGGAGCUGGGAUGAUCCAUAUUUGGUACAAAAAUUCUUCAAACACUCAUGUCGGGAAUUGGCAGCCCAGAGAACCAAUCAACGUGUGUAUCUGCUAUCGUGUAUCCCUGAAUGGACAUGAGCAUAUGAUAAUUAUGCUAAGCUAAGUAGGACGCCGAUGUAGUAUUCUAAUGGAACGAGAGCACUACUAGUGCACUUGGCACCGAUGGAAUGAGAGCACUAGUACUAGCGUGCAGCCAAGCCAGCUAAAGGUGGCCAUGUACAGAGCUACCAAGUUUCCAAUCGAUUGGCUCAAGGGGAGCUGUCUUAUCCACGUACGCUUGUGUCGGGCUAACAUAUCGGCUUCGCCCAAGCCAGUAGCAAUCGGCAUUUCCUAGGCCGACAAGCCCUAAUCGGCCUCUUACAAGCCGACAGGCCCUAAUCGGCAUGGCCGAAACAGAGGCCGUAUUAUUUGUGAAAAUUCUCAAAUCUACGUAUUAUUUCUCGAAAUUAUGAAAAAAAAAUGUAUUAUUUUUCUAAACAAUAGUCGUUUUCAGAACGAGUGAGUGUCACGUAUUAAACUGCGCACAGAGCGGGUUUUAGGUGCACUUCUCACAUUGGGCCGAAACCGAAGAAGCUGGGCUUGGCGAAAGUAAGACAUGCUAUUGGUAUACAGGAGUCUAGAUUUACCUGCAAGACGAAGAUCGACGCCAUCUGUGUGUACAUGACCGUGUAGAAGAUGGUGCACAUCCAAAUAGGUAGGGUCCGCAAGAUGAUCUUGACUUGCUCCACCUACGUCACCGUGCACAACUUUCAUUUAUUGCGCGGUUGGCUGCACGCGGCAACCUCGGCUGUGAGUGCCGCUCGGUCCAAGAACCUGGUGAAGGACAAAAAUAAUUUAUUAUGAGGCAAACUCUCAAGCAUAUCUUAGUCAAUUAACACUUGCAGACUAAUAUUGCUAACUGGCCUGGCCUUUUAACACUUGUGUUGGACAUUUUCCGAAUAUGCAAUGAAUAAUUAGUAAAAAAUACUUUGAAAAAUUUCAUAAUAUACGAUGAACAUUUUUUUAAUAAACGGUGAAAUUUUUAUAUAAUAUGCAAUAAAGAGAAGAAAACAUAAUUUCUUUUGAAAAAAGAACGUAAAAGGAAAGAAGGAACCAAACAGAAAAAUUGAAAAAGGACGCACACACGCGUCAAUAAGAUCCACCUUUUAACCCGCAGGACUCUGUUGGUUCCUAUUCGACGCUUUAAGCGCCCGUUACGCUGGUUCCUAUUCGGCGCCUUAAGCGCCCGUUACAGGCAUUCCUGCUAAUGGGCGCACACCCCACUCCCUUCCUUCGCUACUAAUGGGCCGGCCCAUAUCAACGUUCGCUGUAUGUUUUUAUAGCGCAAAAAAGGGCGAGGCAAGGAGAAUGGAACCCAAGACCUCCCGCUUAGUGAGACGCUGCAACAACCACCGCGCCACCUAGCCAGCUGUGAUAGCUUACAUAUUUUCUAUCCUUUCUUGUUUCAUCUUACCUUUUUCCAUUUCUUUUUUCUCUUUUCUCAAAUUUUCUUUUUUCAUAUCGAGAAAUUUUCUUUCUUCACUUUUUGUUUAAUGAAAAAUGGAUGAACUUUUUGUUUACAAAUUCAAUGAACUUUUUCCAUAAUCGAUGACCCUUUUUCAAAUUCGAUGAACUUUUUUCAAAUCUCGCGUACCUUUUUUCAACUCCGAUGAACUUUUUUAACAUUUUUUUUAUCAAAUUCGGUGAACUUUUUUUCAAUUUUGAUGAAUUGUUUUCAAAUUAGAUGAACAUUUUUUGAACGGGUGAACUUUUUUUCGAAUUCAAUGAACUUUUUUAGAAUUCUAUGAACUUUUCCUGAAUUCGAUGAAUUUUUUUGAAUUCGGUGAACUUUUUUUGGAUUAGGUGAACUUUUUUUCAAAUUUAAUGAACUUUUUUCAAACAGGGUGAACUAUUUUUUGAAUUCUGUGAACUUUUUUCAAAUCUAAUGAAAACUUUCCGAAAAUCGAUGAACUUUUUUCCAGUUUGCGAACUUCUCUUCAGAAAUGAUGAACUUUUUCGAAAAUCUAUGAAAGUUUUCUAAUCACAAUUGUUUUCAAAAAAAUUGACGCGAUACUGUGCAUAGUUAUGUGCAACAAAAAACGUUGCAACCAUGUUAUGUCAUGUUCCAUGCUGUUUCUAACCACUCAAGGCCCGUAGCUUGACUGGUUAGCGAGCUUUGAAGGUGAAGCUGACUGUGUGAGUUCGAAUGCCUAUAGUUGCAACUUUUCUUGGGUUUUUUCCGCGCUAGUUUACACUCCCGCGUUUCGCGGGCCGCCCAACCUGCAGGGCGCGUGGGUGCCGGUUCUCCUAGCCGGCGCUUAAGGCGCCGACUAGGAGCUCUCCAGGACUCUAUAUGGUGCAUUUUUUUUGAGAAAGAUCUAUAUGGUGCAUAUGGCGCCCCCUAGCUCCCUUGUGCGCCUACUGGGCUAGCCCAUGUCGGGCGCGAGGUCCCCCAGUUUUUUAUUUUUUUUCUUUAAUGUUUCUUCAUCUCGUUUUUUCUUCUUCAUCUCUAGUGGAAAAUUGGUGAAUAAGUUGUUGCUCAUAAAGUAAAAUAAAUCUUCAGCCGUGUUAAAAAUGAUCAAGAAUUCGACAAUGUUAAUCGGAUUUAAGAAAUUUUCAUCAAAAUUCAAAAUUUGUCCAUCGAACUAAAAAUAUGUUCAUCAAAUUCUAUUUUUGUUCACUGUUUUCAAAAAAAUGUUCAUCAAAUUAAAACUUUGUUCAUUCAAUAAAAAAAUUGUUCAUCUUUUUUCACAAAAAUGUUCUGGAAUACAAAUUUUGUUCAUGAAAUUCAACAUUUGUUCAUUGAAUAAAAAAUGUGUUCAUCAUUUUUCUAAAAAUGUUCUUUAAUAUAAUUUUUUUUCAUCAAGGUCAAAAAAUCUUCAUCAAAUGCAAAAAUUUGUUCGCCAGUAUUAAAAAUGCUCAUAAAACUUGUUUUGAAUUGAAGAACUAUUUUAAAAAUUUGCAGUUAUUUUAAAUUUUUAGAAUUUUUUAUGCCAAAUUAUUUUAACAUAGAAUAAAACAAAAAUAGAUUAAAAAGUAAAACUAGAAAAUGAAAAAUAAUAAAGGGCGCGCCCCGUCCCACACAUGGGUCGGCCCAAUAGGGCACCUGUGGGGCUGGAGAGUCCGCCCGGGGGGCGCCUCACGCACCGAAUAGAGCUCCCUUUUAACCCGGCCGCAAGUUAGUAAAACCAAACUAGACCAAACUACCUUGAUUUGCUAGCUACGUAUCGAUUGAUUCGCUAGAGGGCAGGCUGACCUGAGGCCUGAAGUGUGCGCCAGCUUCUUUGCGCCGUCGCCCUUGUACAUGAUCUGCAAGUCCGGCGACACGCCGGACUUCCGGUUCUGGCAGGCGGCGAAGACGACUUGGCAGAAGCUGCCGAUCAAGUUGUCGCUCCGCUCUGCGUGGCGGUAAACAGCAGUAACGCCAUGGCCGCGACAGUGCCGGAGGUCGUGAAGGCUACCACCCAUUGGUUGUUCUCUUCUAAGUAGGUCAGCAGGGUGUCAGAGAAGAGGGAGGCCACAAUAUGUGCCAGGUAGAAGUAGUGGAAAAACGUUGUCCUGGACUGCUCGUCGUCGAACUUAUCGGCGCCGAAAGUUGGUAUGUUUUUGUCAUAUCCACCGUAGCUGAAGACGAUCAGGUAGAUCACGAAGUAGAACACACCCAUCACUAUGCCGGAGUGCGACCCGCAUGGCAUAUGCGUUGUGCCGCAGCCGACCGAAUAAACCAGGUACAGGCGCGACAAGAGCGCGAGCGGCCCGACCCCCUGCAAUGUGACAAAAGAGUAAGGCCUGUUCUCACGGGGGCAGUGGAGGGUGAUGGAUCUCGAGUAGUAUAAGACUUACCAAGGCGAAGAUUGCUUGGAAAAUGAUGCAUGUCAUGUCACGGCUAAGGUAACAGUCGCCGAGAAGGGGCAGGAGUGUUAGUCUCUUGUGGUGUUUCUUAGACUUUUGGGUUUGUAAUAAUAAAGUAGAUAUAUUUCAUUGGUUUGGAGAGAACUAUGCUCUCAGGUUUCUUAGUAUGUCCCCUCCCCUCCAUCGCCCUCGCGCAGGCGAUCGAGGGGCUCCAACCCUAGCCGUCGGGUCAAUGUUCCUUCCUCUGCCUCCCCUUUGUCCGCGUCGUGGUCGGCGCCGGGCAUAGCAUGUGUGUGCGACGGCGACGACGGAGGCACUCCUCCCUCUCGCGGGUCAUAGGUGAAGCGGGGCGCCCUGGCUCGAGGGUGUCACCCCGAUCUGUACUGCGGCGGCGCCGGUCUGGUUCAUGACAGUCCAGAUCUGGACUACGACGGUGUGACGUCCGACCGGCGUCCUAAUGGCGGCUGUGGUGGUAGUGCUGGCGACGACGAUGGUUGUGGCGCGGCAUGGUGGGCCUGGUGGUCGCGUCAGUGACACCUCCGGUUAGAUCCGUUCUGACCGGUGCAGCUGGCGGUGGUGGUCAUCUCUUCCGUCAGAGAUGGUCGGCCUGCGGCUGGGUGCUCGGAUCUCGAGAUUCGUCAUGUAGUCCCGGCUACGAGUCGGGCAGACAUAGUUGUCGGUGAAAACCGAGCCGUUGGCGGAAUGGCGGUGUUUUGCGUCGUUACCUUGAUGAAGGCAUCGUCGUGUAACUGUUGUCGACCCACUUAUGUUGCUUCUAGGGAAACCCUAGGAUCUGGUCUUCCAGAUCGGACGAUGGCAGUACUAUGGUGUCGUUUCUCUCUCGGGAGCAUUGUUUGUAGAGCAGCGUUGGAAGACAGAGCCAGGAGGUGGAGCGGCUUCAUCUUGCACGGAGCUUCGGUGGAGCUGUCAAGUCAUGCCUGGUUGACAGGUGCUACGCUGAGCCAUGCCUGGUUUGGCAGGUGCUACGCACGACAGAUCUUUCAGAAUCUUUGCGUCUGGACGGUCGAGCGCAGGGGCGGUGGCGCCAUUAGGCGCCGUGGUGGCGUCGACGGAUGUCCGGACUGGUAAGGAUGAUGUGGAUCUCUCUUCUGAAGAUGGGUUAGUGGCUCGAUGAUGAUGGUGCCUUCUAAAACCUAUGCAUGUGGUGCAUGCUUUAGGUAGGCUGCACUGAGUGUUGGUCCUAUUACGUUAUGUGGAUGGAUCGGCGAUGACACGGUUUUAGAUAUGGAGAGUGAGAGCACUCCAUGUUAUCAACUUUGUAGGUGUGAGUGGUGACUUCGGAUGGAUUGAUGUAUGUUCAUGUCAAACCUUUAUGAAAUAAUUAAUAAAGAUGGCUGCAUGCAUUGAUUGAUGCAGAGGCCGGGGGUCUGACCACCUUUUCUAAAAAUAAUAAAAAAAAGGUUUCUUAGUCUGCUAAACUAGCUGGGAUGAUGGUUGCAUCGGUGGGUGCUGUGUUUGUGGUUUUGAUCCAACUCUGGCUUCUAGCUUUGCCUCAUUAAUAAAAAUGGGGCGGAGAACCCCUUUCAUUUAUAAAAAAAACGUAACAGUCGCCAAGGAUGCUAUUGGGCGUGCGCUUGCUCUCGCGAGCGAUUUCCGACCAAGCGGUUAGGCUUUAUUAGGUAACCACGUCUAAACAGGAAUCCCUUUAAAUUGGAAGGGGAGAGAGAUAACUGGAGAGAUUAACCGUGGGAAGAAGGAUUAUAGAGAAUAUCUUACAUGCCCACGUUGAAAUCAGGAGGGCCAUAGAUAUUAGAGGGGAGAUUUCUUUAGGCCCAUAUGAAAAUCAGGGGACAGAAAGAUUAGAAUCACGGGGAGAGAAAGAUUGGGAUAGAGCGUUGCCACACUCGCUCGUGAAAGAGCGUUUCCGCAAUGAUUGAGCACAUCAUGACCGUCCCCGCCCAAACGGUGACAUUGUUGGUCGCGUCGCCAUUGUUCUGCUGCAGCACCAGCGAAAAUAACAACACCAAAUUGACUUGUACUCCCUCCGUUUCUUUUUAGUCCGUAUAUAAAGUUUGGUCAAAGUCAAGCAUUAUAGAGUUUAACUAACUUUAUAUUAAAAAAUAUAAACAUUCACAAUAUGAAAUCAAUAUAUUCAGAUGCACCAUGAAACAUAUUUUCAUACUAUAUAGUUUUAGUACUGUAGACGUUCAUAAUUUUUUAUAUAAAUUCGGUCAAACUUUGUGUAGUUUGACUUUUAACAAAUCUUAUAUGCGGAGUAAAAAAAAAAUGGAGGGAGUACAAUGUAGAAACCCAUCGACGCAAAGCACUGGUUCGCUGCACCCCAGCAUGAAGAAUUCCGUCAGUUACUCACAGUUUUUGUAAAACUCUUAUAUGUACUAGAAGAAGUUAUACGUACUUACCUAGUAUCAAGAAUGCAGAAGACCAUCCUCCUGCUGACACAUUUGACAAUUGUACAUCUUGUCUGGCACCAUCAUUCGCCGGCUGGCGUUCCACUUUCAUCGGCGCCGACUCCCUCUUUUCGUCUUCAUCCGUAAUAGGACGGAUUUCAUCUCCAUGAUAUGCGAUGGGGUAGAAACGGCGGCGAACAAUUUAGUCUACAUUUACUCUACUAAAGUCUGAUUUUUGACAAAGAGGAGCAUGCACAUCAUCGUCUCAAGCAUACCUGGCAUGAGGACGACAGAAGACAAACUCCUGACACAUUGGACGAUAGUACAUCUUGUCUGGCACCAUCUUUCGUCGGCGGNNNNNNNNNNNNNNNNNNNNNNNNNNNNNNNNNNNNNNNNNNNNNNNNNNNNNNNNNNNNNNNNNNNNNNNNNNNNNNNNNNNNNNNNNNNNNNNNNNNNNNNNNNNNNNNNNNNNNNNNNNNNNNNNNNNNNNNNNNNNNNNNNNNNNNNNNNNNNNNNNNNNNNNNNNNNNNNNNNNNNNNNNNNNNNNNNNNNNNNNNNNNNNNNNNNNNNNNNNNNNNNNNNNNNNNNNNNNNNNNNNNNGAUCUGCGAUGGGGUAGAAACGGCCGCGAACAAUUUAGUCUACAUUUACUCUACUAAAAGUCUGGGUUUUGAAAAAGAGGAACAUGCACAUAAUCGUCUCAAGCAUACCUGGUAUGAGACGCAGAAGACCAAACUCCUGACACAUUUGACGAUAGUACAUUUUGUCCGGCACCAUCAUCCACCGGCGGGCGUUCCACUUCCACUGGCCCGACUCCCUCUUUUCGUCUUCAUCCGUAAUAGGGCGGAUUUCAUCUCCAUGAUCUGCGAUGGGGUAGAACGAGCGGGCAAGAAUAAGUUUAGUCCACAUUUACACUAAUAGAAAUCUUCAUCUCGGCAAAAAUAAUGUUGCACAUAACUGGUCUCAAGCAUCCCAUUGUUAGAGUAUAGGAAGAAAUGAAGCAUUCUCAGGGCGUAUGGAUCUGAGCUGUUGGAUUAGUUGUCCAAACUGAUCGGAGCUAUCGGAUCUUUGUCUGGAUCGAUCCUGGCCAUUGGAUCUUCGUUUGGAUCGAUCCUGGCCGUCGGACCGAACGAAACACUGCUGCAAUGAACAGUGUGGUGCCACCGCCUGUAAAUCCCAUGCCCCACCGAGGGCAUUCUCGUAUUUUCAAACGCAGGCGUAUAAAAGGCCGCUCGCCCGUUCGUAACCCUAGCCGCCUCUUUCCUUUCCCUCUCCCCAGCCCUCGCCCCUCGCCCCGACUCCCCUAUCUCUUCCCCCGUCCCUCACGCCGCAACCCUGCCUCCUCUCCCCCCUGUUGCCGCCGACCACCCAUGCCCGCCGAUAACCCGCAAGUAUACGGGAUAGUUGUAGCCUCUUUCGAUAAGUAAGAGUGUCGAACCCAACGAGGAGCUAAAGGAAGAACAAAUACUCUCUCAAGUCCUAUCGGCCACUAAUACGACUCUACGCACGCUUGAUGUCCGCUUUAUCUAGAACAAGUAUGAAACUAGAAGUACUUUGUAGGUGUUGUUUGAUAGCUUUGCAAGAUAAUAAAGAAAGCGUAAAUGAAAAGUAGGGGCUGUUUAGAUAAAGAUGCAAAUAAAGUAAAUAUAGCGAGUGUGGAAAAGUGGUGGUAGGAUUUGUGGAAUUGUCCCUAAGCAAUUGACUAUGUUACUAGACCGGUAAUCACUAUUGCAAUUCUAUUUGAGGGAGAGGCAUAAGCUAACAUACUUUCUCUACUUGGAUCAUAUGCACUUAUGAUUGGAACUCUAGCAAGCAUCCGCAACUACUAAAGAUUCAUUAAGGUAAAACCCAUCCAUAGCAUUAAAGUAUCAAGUCCCCUUUAUCCCAUACGCAAACAACCUACUUACUCGGGUAUGUGCUUCUGUCACUCAUGCCACCCACCAUAAGUAAAUCAUAAACAUAUUGCAAACCCUACAGCGGGAAUCCCUCACGCUUGCGCGACACAGAGAGCACCAUAGGACAGCACCAAUAAUAAAACAUGCAACUCAAACCAAUCAUAGCAAUUCAUCAAUCACCGAUAGGACAACGAAAAUCUACUCACAUCAUAGGAUCAACACAUCAUUGGAUAAUAAUAUGAAGCAUAAAGCACCAUGUUCAAGUACAGGGUACAGCGGGAUGCGGGAGAGUGGACCGCUGAAUAUAGAAGGGGGAAGGUGAUAGAGAUGUUGGUGAAGAUGACGGCAGUGUUGGUGUAGAUCGCGGUGAUGAUGAUGGCCCCGACGGUGUUCCGGCGCCACCGGAAGCAAGGGGGAGAGAGCCCCCUUCUUCUUCUUCCUUGACCUCCUCCCUAGAUGAGAGAAGGGUUUCCCCUCUGGUCCUUGGCUCCCAUGGCGUGGGAGGGGCGAGGCCCCUCCGAGAUUGGAUCUAUCUUUCUGUUUUUGCGUUCUCAGAUUCUACCCCUUCACUGUUUCUUUAAUAUCCGGAGAUCCAUAACUCCGAUUGGGGUGAAUAUCUCGCCCAAAUUUUUCUCAUAAAAUUAGCUUUCUUUCGGCAAAAGAAGGGCAUCAAUCGCCUUACGGGUGGCCCACGAGAGUGCCAGGCGCGCCCCCUGUCUCGUGGCCACCUCGGACACCGUUUCACGUUGAUUCUUUCUCCGGAAAAUCUCAAAUAUUCCAAAAUAAUUCUCCGUCCAUUUCUAUCCCGUUUGGACUCCGUUUGAUAUUGGUUUUCUGUGAAACAUAAAACAUGCAACAAACAGGAACUGGCACUGGGCACUGGAUCAAUAUGUUAGUCCCAAAAAUAGUAUAAAAAGUUGCCAAAAGUAUAUGAAAGUUGAAGAAUAUUGGCAUGGAACAAUCAAAAAUUAUAGAUACGACGGAGACGUAUCAACAUCCCCAAGCUUAAUUCCUGCUCGUCCUCAAGUAGGUAAAUGAUAAAAAGAUAAUUUUUGAUGUGGAAUGCUACCUAGCAUAAUCUUGAUCAAAUAUCUAAUCAUGGCAUGAAUAUUAAGACACGAGUGAUUCAAAGCAAUAGUCUAUCAUUUGACAUAAAAAUAAUAAUACUUCGAGCGUACUAAUAAAGCAAUCAUGUCUUUUCAAAACAACAAGGCCAAAGCAAGCUUAUCCCUACAAAAUCAUAUAGUUUGGCCAUUCUUCAUUUCUGUCACACAAAAAUGCUUCCAUCAUGCACAACCCCGAUGACGAGCGGAGCAAUUGGUUCAUACUUUCUAAUACGCUUCACCUUUUUCAACCCUCACGCAAUACAUGAGCGCAAGCCAUGGAUAUAACACUAUAGGUGGAAUAGAAUAUAAUGAUGGAGGUUAUGUGGAUAAGACAAAAAAAGGAGAAAGUCUCGCAUCGACGCGGCUAAUCAACGGGCUAUGGAGAUGCCCAUCAAUUGAUGUCAAUGCAAGGAGUAGGGAUUGCCAUGCAACGGAUGCACUAGAUCUAUAAGUGUAUGAAAGCUCAACAAAAGAAACUAAGUGGGUGUGCAUCCAACUUGCUUGCUCAUGAAGACCUAGGGCAUUUGAGGAAGCCCAUCGUUGGAAUAUACAAACCAAGUUCUAUAAUGAAAAAUUCCCACUAGUAUAUGAAAGUGACAAUAUAAGAGACUCUCUAUAUGAAGAACAUGGUGCUACUUUGAAGCACAAGUGUGGAAAAAGGAUAGUAACAUUGCCCCUUUUUUUCACUUUUGGGUGGGCUUCUUUGGCCCCCUUUUUAUUUAGGAUUUUUUGGCCUUUACUUUUUUUUUCUUUUCUUCUUCUUUUUUAUGGGGCAAUGCUCUAUAAUGAUGAUCAUCACACUUUUAUUUACUUACAACUCGAUACUAGAACAAAGAUAUGACUCUAUAUGAAUGCCUCCGGCGGUGUACCGGGAUGUGCAAUGAUCUAGCAUAGUAAUGACAUCAAAAAAUGGACAAGCCAUGAAAACAUCAUGCUAUCUAUCUUACGAUCAUGCAAGGCAAUAUGACAAUGAAUGCUCAAGUCAUGUAUAUGAUGAUGAUGGAAAUUGCAUGGCAAUAUAUCUCGGAAUGGCUAUGGAAAUGCCAUGAUAGGUAGGUAUGGUGGUUGUUUUGAGAAAGAUAUAAUGAGGCUUAUGUGUGAUAGAGCGUAUCAUAUCACGGGGUUUGGAUACAUCGGCAAAGUUUGCACUGACUCUCGAGGUGAGAAAGGGCAAUGCACGGUACCGAAGAGGCUAGCAAUGAUGGAAAGGUAAAAGUGCGUAUAAUCCAUGAACUCACAUUAGUCAUAAAGAACUCAUAUACUUAUUGCAAAAGUUUAUUAGCCCUUGAAGCAAAGUACUACUACGCAUGCCCCUAGGGGGAUAGAUUGGUAGGAAAAGACCAUCGCUCGUCCCCGACUGCCACUCAUAAGGAAGACAACCAAAGAAACACCCCAUGCUUCAAAUUUGUCACACAAUGGUUACCAUACGUGCAUGCUACGAGACUUGAAAACCUCAACACAAGUGUCUCUACAAUCCACAACCACCCACUAGCAUAACUCUAAUAUCACCAUCUUUAUAUUGCAAAACUAUUGCAAGGAAUCAAACAUAUCAUAUUCAGCGAUCUACAAGUUUAUGUAGGAUUUUAUGACUAACCAUGUGAAUGACCAAUUCCUGCCAUCUCUCUAAAUAGAUAUAAAUGAAGCAAGAGAGUUUCAUUCUUUCUAUAAAAUAUAUGCCCACGCUCUAACAAAUAUAAAUGAAGCAAAAGAGUAUUCUACAAAUGGCGGUUUUCUAUGUGAAGAGAAACAGGCAAUCCAAAUUUCAAACGAUAUACGUGAAGCACAUGAAGCAUUCCAUAAAGCCAUACUCAAAAGAUUUAAGUGAAGUGCAAUGCGCAUUCUAUAAAUCAACCAAGGAAUAUCUCAUACCAGCAUGGUGCAUAAAAAAAUGAAAACUAAAUGCAAAAGACGCUCCAAGACUUGCACAUAUCACAUGAACGAAACGAAUCCGAAAACAUACCGAUACUUGUUGAAGAAAGAGGGGAUGCCCUCCGGGGCAUCCCCAAGCUUAGACGCUUGAGUCUCUUUGAAUAUUUACUUGGGGUGCCUUGGGCAUCCCCAAGCUUGAGCUCUUGCCUCUCUUCCUUUUCCUCACAUCGAGACCUCCUCGAUUAGACACUUCAUCCACACAAAACUUCAACAGAAAACUCGGUAAGAUCCGUUAGUAUAAUGAAGCAAAUCACCACUCUAAGUACUGUUGCAAACCAAUUCAUAUUUUGUUUUUGCAUUGUGUCUACUGUAAUAUAACUUUUUCAUGUCUUAAUCCACUAAUAUAAAUUGAUAUAUUCAUCAAAACAAGCAAACUAUGCAUCAAAAAACAGAAUCUGUCAAAAACAGAACAGUCUGUAGCAAUCUGAACAUUCACAAUACUUCUGUUACCCCAAAACUUCUACAAAAAUUAGGAAAAAUAACCCAUUUGUACAGAAAUACAGUGCAAAAUGAGUCAGAACCAUUUGACGUUCCAGUUAAAAAUGUAAAAUCUAGCACUACAGCCAAAGUUUCUGUCCUCCACCGUACAAACCAACAAGCAUUGUAAACAUCCUAAAGGCAAACCUUGGCACAUUAUUUUUAUAAUACAAUGGAAUUGUACAAGGGGAUAAUUAUUUUUGAUGAAAAGUUUCUGUAAUCAAGAUUCACAAAGUUUCCGUGAGCAUGAACAAAGUUCAAGGCUAGCUCCCACUUCAACAAUGCUUGUCUCUCUCACUUUCACUUUCCUUUUUGAAAAGUUUUGGUUUCCACUCUUUAUUUUUUUUGUUUUUAAACUAUAUAAAAGCACUCAACAGAAAUAAAUGACUCUCUAAAACUUUGGGUUGUCUCCCUGGCAGCGCUUUCUUUAAAGCCGUUAAGCUAGGCAUAUAGUGCUCAAGUAAUGGAUUCACCCGGAUCCCAAGGUAUAUCAAAGCCAAUUUUAAUUAACAAUGAUUUGUAAUAUAGUAGUGAGCACAAAGUAACAUAUAUCAUGCAACAACGAAGUCUAACUAUCUUCCUAUGCAUCGAUAUGUCAUAAAAGAACAAUCCAUGCACACCAAAUAAAGGCCAAUGCAUAGUAUAAGCAGUUUCUUGCAAUUAUAUCGUGUUGGAAAUAUAAAGAGGCAGAGAUGUAGUUCCUCUCUCAUAAUAAUUGCAAGUAGGAGCAGCAAGCACAUGCAUAUUAUAUCUAUCAAAAUCAUCAUGUGCAACGGUAAAAGGCAACCCAUCAACAUAAUCCUUAAUAAGCACAAACUUCUCCAAUAUAGUGUAGUUUGGAGAAUUCAAAGAGAUAAUAGGACUAUCAUGCGUGGGUGCAAUAGCAACAAUUUCAUGUUUAACAUAAGGGACUAUAGCAAGUUCAUCUCCAUAAGCAUAAUUCAUAUUGGCAUCUUGGCCACAAGCAUAGCAAGCAUCAUCAAAAUGGGAUAUUUCAAGAGAAUCAACGGGACCAUAGCAAUCAUCCUUCGGUAAGCACGAAGGGGAAUUAAACAAUGUAUGAGUUGAAGAGUUACUCUCAUUAGAAGGUGGGCACGGGUGAUCAAUCGGCUCUUCCUCCUUUUGUUCUUCGCUCUCCUCAUCAUCUUUUUCAUCCAAUGAGCUCACAGUUUCAUCAAUUUCUUCUUCCAUAGCUUCCUGCAAAAUAUUAGUCUCUUUUUGGACAGCGGAGACUUUCUCAAUAAAUGCAUUAAUAUAGUAAUUGUAUUCAUAAUUUUCAUAGGAAUACCUAAGUAUAGCAAGAUUUUAAAGCCUAUAAACAUCAUCAUCUAAAGCUUCACACUUUUCAAACAAAGAUUCAAUUUCAUAAGCAGCCUUAAAAGCAACAAAUUCUUCAAUUUGUUCAACAUCACAGUAAUCAUAUACUCCCUCCGUUCCUAAAUAUAAGGUGUAUUAGUUUUUCAAAAAGUCAACUGUUGUCUAUGUUUUACCAACUUUAUAGCAAAAUAUAUAAAUAUUUAUAAUACCAAAUAUAUAAAGUGUAAAAAUAUAGUUCAUGAUGAAUCUACUGAUAAUGAUUUGGUAUUCUAGAUAUUGAUAUUUUUGUCUAUAAACUUGGUCAAACUUAGAGAAGUUUGACUUUUUGAAAAAAUAAUACACCUUAUAUUGAGGAACGGAGGGAGUAUACCAUUAGCAUAAGAAGCUAAGGUUUCAUUCUCAUUAAAUUUGCAUGAAAAGGGAAGGUGUGGAUCCUUCAUCCUAGAGCAACAAGUAAUAUCAUAUCUCAAGCAUAGAUACCGAGCAUACCAACACAACAUAGUAAAUUGAUCCCAUAAUAGUUUCCCUUUUUGUGUCAAGCAAUAAUCCCUAAAGUAUUCACGUUGAUCCAGCAUGUCUCCCAUUAUAAAGUUGAAUGGGGUUUUCUCAGGAUUAUCAAAGUAGUACAUAAUAUCUUCCACAAAGUGAGAAUCGAGGGUUUUAGGAGUUACCCCAUCUCUAUGAGUAGCAAGUACACCUAAUUUUUUUUGGUAUUUUGUGUUCCAUAUCCAUAACUAAAGAUAGUGAACAACUUAGAACAGCAAAUAAAAAUUACUCAGUGAUAAAGCAAACAAGCACACACGAGAAUAUUCACCCCGCGCUAUGACUCCCCGACAACGGCGCCAGAAAAAGGUCUUGAUAACCCGCAAGUAUACGGAUUUUGUAGCCUCUUUCGAUAAGUAAGAGUGUCGAACCCAACGAGGAGCUAAAGGUAGAACAAAUACUCUCUCAAGUCCUAUCGGCCACUGAUAUAACUCUACGCAUGCUUGACGUUCGCUUUACCUAGAACAAGUAUGAAACUAGAAGUACUUUGUAGGUGUUGUUUGAUAGCUUUGCAAGAUAAUAAAGAAAGCGUAAAUGAAAAGUAGGGGCUGUUUAGAUAAAGAUGCAAAUAAAGUAAAUAUAGCGAGUGUGGAAAAAUGGUGGUAGGAUUUGUGGAAUUGUCCCUAAGCAAUUGACUAUGUUACUAGACCGGUAAUCACUAUUGCAAUUCUAUUUGAGGGAGAGGCAUAAGCUAACAUACUUUCUCUACUUGGAUCAUAUGCACUUAUGAUUGGAACUCUAGCAAGAAUCCACAACUACUAAAGAUUCAUUAAGGUAAAACCCAACCGUAGCAUUAAAGUAUCAAGUCCCCUUUAUCCCAUACGCAAACAACCUACUUACUCGGGUCUGUGCUUCUGUCACUCACGCCACCCACCAUAAGCAAAUCAUAAACAUAUUGCAAACCCUACAGCGGGAAUCCCUCACGCUUGCGCGACACGGAGAGCACCAUAGGACAACACGAAUAAUAAAACAUGCAACUCAAACCAAUCAUAGCAGUUCAUCAAUCACCGAUGGACAACGAAAAUCUACUCAGACAUCAUAGGAUGGCAACACAUCAUUGGAUAAUAAUAUGAAGCAUAAAGCACCAUGUUCAAGUAGAGGGUACAACAGGAUGCGGGAGAGUGGACCGCUGAAUAUAGAAGGGGGAAGGUGAUGGAGAUGUUGGUGAAGAUGACGACGGUGUUGGUGUAGAUCGCGGUGAUGAUGAUGGCCCCCGGCGGCGUUCCGGCACCACUGGAAGCAAGGGGGAGAGAGCCUCCCUUCUUAUUCUUCUUCCUUGACCUCCUCCCUAGAUGGGAGAAGGGUUUCCCCUCUAGUCCUUGGCUCCCAUGGCGUGGGAGGUGCGAGAGCCCCUCCGAGAUUGGAUCUAUCUCUCUGUUUCCGCGUUCUCAGAUUCUACCCCUUCAUCGUUUCUUUAAUAUCCGGAGAUUCAUAACUCCGAUUGGGGUGAAUCUUUCGCCAAGAUUUUUCUCAUAAAAUUAGCUUUCUUGCAGCAAAAGAAGGGCAUCAACCUCCUUACGGGUGGCCCAUGAGAGUGCCAGGUGCGCCCAGGGGGUGUGGGCACGCCCCCUGUCUUGUGGCCACCUUGGACACCGUUUCGCGUUGAUUCUUCCUCCGGAAAAUCCCAAAUAUUCCAAAAUAAUUCUCCGUCCAUUUUUAUCCUGUUUGGACUCCGUUUGAUAUUGGUUUUCUGUGAAACAUAAAACAUGCAACAAACAGGAACUGGCACUGGGCACUGGAUCAAUAUGUUAGUCCCAAAAUAGUAUAAAAAGUUGCCAAAAGUAUAUGAAAGUUGAAAAAUUAUAGAUACGACGGAGACGUAUCACCCGCCAGCCAUCCUUCCCGCCCGCUGCCGCCGCAAACCAUCCUCAUCGUCCGCCGCCACCUCGCUCUCGCAUCCACACCCACGCCCGUGAUUUCCCCCUCCCUGCUUCUGUUGCCGACGCGCCUCCUCUCCGUCAGCUCCCUCUCACCGCCCCGACACCCGUUCUUCUAUAGCGCUAGGAGGGAAGCAACCUGGUGCUCGCGCUGCUACUCCCAAGUCGAGUUCGCCGCGUCACAUUCACCAAGUGGAGGCCCCGUUGAGCUCUCUGUGUCGUCAUCAUUCUGCGGAGUGGACGGCGCCGCUUGCACGUCUGCUUCACAUGGAGGAGCGCGCCAUUGCCAUCGAUGUGAGAUGGGGUUGUCGUUGACGUGUCGCGGGAGUGGGAGAGCGAGAUCUGGUCCAGGCGGACGGGGACGAAAAUGAGUCGACAUCUGUAACAUCCCAAGCAUCACACUAUAGUAAUCCCUUAUGAUCAGUGCCAAGCCAUCUUGAUUUACAAAGCUUAAUCAUGUUGGGAUAAUAUCUCAACUCAAGUCCCUUCUCUGAAUUCUAUUCAAAUUCAAAGUGAAAUUUGAAGUUGCACAAAACUUGCUAGAAAAAUGUUCAUCAUUUAGCCAAAUUCCAUAACAUUUAAUUGUUAAGGAAAACAACAUCACCAUUGAGCUAAGAUGGACAGUAGCAAUUAUUUCAUUGCAACUUCAGCAUUUUUGAAUGCCAUUUUAUUUGUGAAAAAUGUAAAUCACAUCCCCUGUCCUCCAAACUUUUUGCGGCACUGACUAAAAAUGCCUUGGAUUUUAUGGGCCCAGUUCCAUGAUUUAUUUAAGAUAUUUGGAUGCCCAAUCAACUUCCUUUCUCUCUCUGUUUAUUAAACAAAAGAAAAACAGAAAAGAGAAAAGAUAGAACAGGAGAAAGCCCAUACAUGCGCUACAGCCAGCUAGCUACAGUUGCCGGCCCAGCCCAGCCGGUCGUCUCCCCUCUGACUCUCCCUCUUGCGUGUCGCCAAGGCCGCGCAUGAUUCCUUCCUCGCCAGUCGGAUUCUCGACACGGAGGCGCUACAGGAACAUGAGGAGGAGGAUAAGACUCAGCUCACCCCAUGCAGAACCCUAGAACGCCCAUUCCCCCCCCUCGCCUCAUCCUCUUCGUUUCGUGGUAGCCACCAAAAGCAGCCACCACCGAACGCCAUCGAUCUCGUGCUCUAAAGCCGCAUCAUGUUGCAAGCUAUUGUCCAGGACGUUCGUCAUCGUCGCCCUCAUCGCCUCAGGGGACCGGAUCGACCUGAGGAGCACCAAAACCGCGGAUGGACUGCUUCUUCUUCCUCUGUCGCCGCAGCUUCACCGCCGUCGAUCUGAUCCCUUACUACUACUAAACCAUCGACGGGACCCCAUGCGCCCCCUAAGUAAGCUCCGCGUCCAUCCCCUCUAUUUUCGGUGUCGAUCUCGACCUCUAUAUGCGGCCACCACCGUUGCCGAACCCACUGCCGCUCGGACUCGUCGCCGGCGAGGUUCCAAUGAACCUAUGGUCGGCGUGCGUACACCCACUGGCCUCCCGCACGCCUGUAUCUCCCUCCUAGCUCGCCAGCUCGCUCGAUCUCGAGCUCCUGCGCCAUAGCCGCACCCUACCGAGCUCGGGCCGUCUCCGUGGUCGCUGUCGUGCCCGCACGCCCCUAGUCGCGUCCGGCCACAGAUGCCGCUUCCUGGCUGCGCCCAUGCACGCGCCCGCCUGCGCGUGGCCGUGCCCCUGCUGUCGCCGCUCUGCCUGCACUGCUACUGCCUUAGCCGCCGCUGCACUCUGCUGCUGCUCCACUCCUACAGUAACAUUCAGUUACUUAGCAGUAGCUAGCUUGGUUGGUGCUACGCUGACUGGCCCUCUGUACAGCCCCUAAACAACAACUGAACAACAAUUAAUAUGAGUAAAAUUCAUGUGGGCAGGUAGUACACUUGACAAGGUUCAAAACAUCCCAUUGGACCAAAUUCAUAAGAUGUAAGGAUUAAAUCCUAUGAAAAUCACAAAAUCCUAUGUUCGUAUAUUUUAACAGUUUCUGGAAUUAACUUAAAGUGGAACUUUUCAAAUGCAGUUUCGAUCAAGCAACUAAACUCUAACAUGGAUGUCAAUGAUACUAUCAUGUAGAUCACAGAAAGAUGAUAAAAAUGGUAAAGGGCACUAAGCCAUAGGAUGGACAAAACUACAGUAAUAGCCUUCGGAAUACAGCUAAGUGGCGUUAAAACUGAGCGAUUCUCAGACAACCAAUUGUCAGGAAAUUCCAAUUAACUAUUUAAAACUUUGAAAAAACGUAGAAAAAUGAUCGCAUGUCAGAUAAAAAACUUUAUAUAUGAAAGUUGCUCAGAAUGACGAGACGAAUCCGAAUACGCCCUCCUCAUACCUGUCACAUGCCUAUAGCAUGAUGAACAUGGAACUUUCCCCUCCGUUUCAUCUGUCCAAUAAUCACCCGGAGCUGGGAGAACACUACCGUAUAAUUUCCCGCUUCCACUAACCUGCACAGUACUGCAUUAGGGCACCUCUCGAAUAACGUGAUGUCAUGCUAUGCUUCUGUGAUUGCAUUUGUCUGCCUUAAUUUAUUAUUUCUUCCCCCUCCUCUCUCUCGAUAGACCCCGAGACCGAUGAUGACCCGAUGAUCGUCUACCUCAUCGAAGACCCGUUGGUGUCUGCAAAGCAACUGGGCAAGCAAACCCCCCAUUGAUCAUUCUAAUAUCGCCCAUUUCCUUCUCUCUUAUGCUUGCAUUGUAACUGCUACUACUUUUUGUAUGAUCCUGUUGGAAACAUGCCCUAGAGGCAAUAAUAAAAGGAUUAUUAUUAUAUUUCCUUGUUCAUGAUAAUUGUCUUUUAUUCAUACUAUAAUUGUAUUAUCCGGAAAUCGUAAUACACGUGUGAAUACAUAGACCACAAUACGUCCCUAGGAAGCCUCUAGUUGACUAGCUCGUUGGUCAACAGAUAGUCAUGGUUUCCUGACUAUGGACAUUAGAUGUCGUUGACAACGGGAUCACAUCAUUAGGAGAAUGAUGUGAUGGACAAGACCCAAUCCUAAGCAUAGCACAAGAUCGUGUAGUUCGUUUUGCUAGAGCUUUUCUAAUGUCAAGUAUCUCUUCCUUAGACCAUGAGAUCGUGUAACUCCCGGAUACCAUAGGAGUGCUUUGGGUGUACCAAACAUUACAACGUAACUGGGUGACUAUAAAGGUGCACUACAGGUAUCUCCAAAAGUGUCUGUUGGGUUGACACGGAUCGAGACUGGGAUUUGUCACUCCGUAUGACGGAGAGGUAUCUCUGGGCCCACUCGAUAAUGCAUCAUCAUAAUGAGCUCAAAGUGACCAAGUGUUUGGUCACGGGAUCAUGCAUUACGGUACGAGUAAAGUGACUUGCUGGUAACGAGACUGAACGAGGUAUUGGGAUACCGACGAUCGAGUCUCGGGCAUGUAACGUACCGAUUGACAAAGGGAAUAGUAUACGGGGUUGCUUGAAUCCUCGGCAUCGUGGUUCAUCCGAUGACAUCAUCGAGGAGAAUGUGGGAGCCAACAUGGGUAUCCAGAUCCCGCUGUUGGUUAUUGACCGGAGAGCCGUCUCGGUCAUGUCUGCGUGUCUCCCGAACCCGUAGGGUCUACACACUUAAGGUUCGGUGACGCUAGGGUUAUUAGGAAGACUUGUAUGUGAUUACCGAAUGUUGUUCGGAGUCCCGGAUGAGAUCCCGGACGUCACGAGGAGUUCCGAAAGGGUCCGGAGGUAAAGAUUUAUAUAUGGGAAGUUGUCAUGCGGACACCGGAAAGUUUCGGGGGCAUAUCGGUAUUGUACCGGGGCCACCGGAGGGGUUCCGGGGGUCCACCGGGAGGGGCCACCCCUCUUGGUGGGCCACAUGGGCCGCAUGGGGCAGGGAACCAGCCCCUGGAGGGCUGGGCGCGCCCCCCCUUGGGCCCAUGCGCCUAGGGUUUGGGGGGGAACCCUAAAGGGGGCGCACCCCCUUUGCUUGGGGGGCAAGCCCCCUCCCUGGCCGCCGCCCCCCUCUAGAUCUUAUCUAGAGGGGGCCGGCCCCCUUCCCCCUUCCCCUAUAAAUAGAGGGGUGAGGGGAGGGCUGAACACCUGAUCCAAGGCGCAGCCCCUCCCCUCCCCAACACCUCUCCUCCUCCGUUGUGCGCUUGGCGAAGCCCUGUCGGAGUACUGCCUCUCCACCAUCAUCACGCCGUCAUGCUGCUGCUGGAGCCUUCUUCCUCAAUCUCUCCUUCCCCUUUAUGGAUCAAGAAGGAGGAGACAUCGUCCGUAUCGUACGUGUGUUGAACGCAGAGGUGCUGUCCGUUCAGCACUUGGUCAUCGGUGAUUUGAAUCACGGCGAGUACGACUCCAUCAUCACCGUUCCCUUGAACGCUUCCGCACGCGAUCUACAGGUGGUAUGUAGAUGCAAUCUCUCUCCCAUGACUCAUUGCUUAGACAAACUCAUAGAUGGAUCUUGGUGAAACCGUAGGAAAAAUUUUAAUUUUCUGCAACGUUCCCCAACAGUGGCAUCAUGAGCUAGGUCUAUGCGUAGUUCUCUAUUGCACGAGUAGAACACAAUUUUGUUGUGGGCGUAGAUCUUGUCAACUUGCUUGCCGCUACUAGUCUUUUCUUGCUUCAGCGGUAUUGUGGGAUGAAGCGGCCCAGACCAACCUUACACGUACGCUUACGUGAGACAGGUUCCACCGACUGACAUGCACUAGUUGCAUAAGGUGGCUAGCGGGUGUCUGUCUCUCCUACUUUAGUUGGAGCGGAUUAGAUGAAAAGGAUCCUUAUGAAGGGUAAAUAGAAGUUGACAAAAUCACGUUGUGGUUAUUCGUAGGUAAGAAAACGUUCUUGCUAGAACCCAAUUGCAGCCACGUAAAAGAUGCAACAACAAUUAGAGGACGUCUAACUUAUUUUUGCAGCAAUUGUCAUGUGAUGUGAUAUGGCCAGAAGUUGUGAUGAAUGAUGAAUGAUAUAUUGUGAUGUAUGAGAUCAUGUUCUUGUAAUAGGAAUCAUGACUUGCAUGUCAAUGAGUAUGACGACCGGCAGGAGCCAUAGGAGUUGUCUUUAUUCUUUGUAUGACCUGCGUGUCAUUGAAGAACACCAUGUAAAUUACUUUACUUUAUUGCUAAACGCGUUAGCCAUAGAAGUAGAAGUAGUCAUUGGCGUGACAACUUCAUGAAGACACGAUGAUGGAGAUCAUGAUGAUGGAGAUCAUGGUGUCAUGCCGAUGAUGAAGAUGAUCAUGGAGCCCCGAAGAUGGAGAUCAGAGGAGCUAUAUGAUAUUAGCCAUAUCAUGUCACUAUUAUAUAAUUGCAUGUGAUGUUUAUUAUGUUUAUGCAUCUUGUUUACUUAGAACGACGGUAGUAAAUAAGAUGAUCCCUUAUAAUAAUUUCAAGAAAGUGUUCCCCCUAACUGUGCACCGUUGCUAAAGUUCGUCGUUUUGAAGCACCACGUGAUGAUCGGGUGUGAUAGAUCCUUACGUUCACAUACAACGGGUGUAAGACAGAUUUACACAUGCAGAACACUUAGGGUUAACUUGACGAGCCUAGCAUGUACAGACAUGGCCUCGGAACACAGAGACCGAAAGGUCGAACAUGAGUUGUAUGGAAGAUACGAUCAACAUGGAGAUGUUCACCGAUGAUGACUAGUCCGUCUCACGUGAUGAUCGGACACGGCCUAGUCGACUCGGAUCGUGUAACACUUAGAUGACUAGAGGGAUGUCUAAUCUAAGUGGGAGUUCAUUAAAUAAUUUGAUUAGAUGAACUUAAUUAUCAUGAACUUAGUCUAAAACUUUUGCAAAAUAUGUCUUGUAGAUCAAAUGGCCAACGCUCAUGUCAACAUGAACUUCAACGCGUUCCUAGAGAAAACCAAGCUGAAAGAUGAUGGCAGCAACUAUUCGGACUGGGUCCGGAACCUGAGGAUCAUCCUCAUAGUAGCCAAGAAAGAUUAUGUCCUAGAAGCACCGCUAGGUGAAGCACCCAUCCUAGAGAACCAAGACAUUAUGAAUGCUUGGCAGUCACGUGCUGAUGAUUACUCCCUCGUUCAGUGUGGCAUGCUUUACAGCUUAGAACCGGGGCUCCAAAAGCGUUUUGAGAAGCACGGAGCAUAUGAGAUGUUCGAGGAGCUGAAAAUGGUUUUCCAAGGUCAUGCCCGGGUCGAGAGAUAUGAAGUCUCCGACAAGUUCUAUAGUUGCAAGAUGGAGGAAAACAGUUCUGUCAGUGAGCACAUACUCAAAAUGUCUGGGUUGCACAACCGCCUGUCCCAGUUGGAGAUCAAUCUCCCGGAAGAGGCGGUCAUUGACAGAAUCCUUCAGUCGCUCCCACCAAGCUACAAGAGCUUUGUGUUGAACUACAAUAUGCAGGGGAUGGUGAAGACCAUUCCUGAAGUAUUCUCAAUGCUGAAGUCAGCAGAGGUUGAAAUCAAGAAAGAACAUCAAGUGUUGAUGGUCAAUAAGACCACUAAGUUCAAGAAGGGCAAGGGUAAGAAGAACUUCAAGAAGGACGGCAAAGAUGUUGCCGCGCCCGGUAAGCCAAUUGCCGGGAAGAAGUCAAAGAAUGGACCCAAGCCUAAGACUGAGUGCUUUUAUUGCAAAGGGAAGGGUCACUGGAAGCGGAACUGCCCCAAAUACUUAGCGGACAAGAAGGCCGGCAACACUAAAGGUAUAUUUGAUAUACAUGUAAUCGAUGUGUACCUUACCAGUACUCAUAGUAACUCAUGGGUAUUUGAUACCGGUGUCGUUGCUCACAUUUGUAACUCACAGCAGGAGCUGCGGAAUAAGCGGAGACUGGCGAAGGACGAGGUGACGAUGCGCGUCGGGAAUGGUUCCAAGGUUGAUGUGAUCGCUAUCGGCACGCUACCUCUACAUUUACCCACGGGAUUAGUUAUGAACCUCAAUAAUUGUUAUUUAGUGCCAAGUUUGAGCAUGAACAUUGUAUCUGGAUCUCGUUUGAUAUGAGAUGGCUACUCAUUUAAAUCCGAGAAUAAUGGUUGUUCUAUUUAUAUGAGAGAUAUGUUUUAUGGUCAUGCCCCGAUGGUCAAUGGUUUAUUCUUAAUGAAUCUCGAACGUAAUGUUACACAUAUUCAUAGUGUGAAUACCAAAAGAUGUAAAGUUGAUAACGAUAGUCCCACAUACUUGUGGAACUGCCGCCUUGGUCACAUUGGUGUCAAGCGCAUGAAGAAGCUCCAUGUUGAUGGACUUUUAGAGUCUCUAGAUUAUGAAUCAUUUGACACAUGCGAACCAUGCCUCAUGGGCAAAAUGACCAAGACCCCGUUCUCCGGAACAAUGGAGCGAGCAACCAACUUAUUGGAAAUCAUACAUACUGAUGUGUGUGGUCCAAUGAGCGUUGAGGCUCGUGGAGGAUAUCGUUAUGUUCUCACUCUCACUGAUGACUUGAGUAGAUAUGGGUAUGUCUACUUGAUGAAACACAAGUCUGAGACCUUUGAAAAGUUCAAGGAAUUUCAGAAUGAAGUAGAGAAUCAACGUGACCGAAAGAUAAAAUUCUUAUGAUCGGAUCGUGGAGGAGAAUAUUUAAGUCACGAAUUUGGUACACACUUAAGAAAAUGUGGAAUCGUUUCACAACUCACGCCGCCUGGAACACCUCAGCGUAACGGUGUGUUCGAACGUCGUAAUCGCACUCUAUUGGAUAUGGUGCGAUCUAUGAUGUCUCUUACCGAUUUACCGCUAUCAUUUUGGGGAUACGCUCUAGAGACAACUACAUUCACUUUAAAUAGGGCACCGUCUAAAUCCGUUGAGACGACACCGUAUGAAUUAUGGUUUGGGAAGAAACCUAAGCUGUCGUUUCUAAAAGUUUGGGGAUGCGAUGCUUAUGUCAAGAAACUUCAACCUGAAAAGCUCGAACCCAAGUCGGAAAAAUGCGUCUUCAUAGGAUACCCUAAGGAAACCAUUGGGUAUACCUUCUACUUAAGAUCCGAGGGCAAGAUCUUUGUUGCCAAGAACGGAUCCUUUCUGGAAAAAGAGUUUCUCUCGAAAGGAGUAAGUGGGAGGAAAGUAGAACUCGAUGAAGUACUACCUCUUGAACCGGAAAGUAGUGCAGCUCAGGAAAACGUUCCUGUGGUGCCUACACCGACUGGAGAGGAAAUUAAUGAUGAUGAUCAAGGUACUUCUGAUCAAGUUGCUACUGAACUUCGUAGGUCCACAAGGACACGUUCCACACCAGAGUGGUAUGGCAACCCUGUCCUGGAAAUCAUGUUGUUAGACAACAGUGAACCUUCGAACUAUGAAGAAGCGAUGGCGGGCCCAGAUUCCAACAAAUGGCUAGAAGCCAUGAAAUCCGAGAUAGAAUCCAUGUAUGAAAACAAAGUAUGGACUUUGACUGACUUGCCCGAUGAUCGGCGAGCGAUAGAAAACAAAUGGAUCUUUAAGAAGAAGACGGACGCGGAUGGUAAUGUCACCAUCUAUAAAGCUCAACUUGUCGCUAAGGGUUAUCGGCAAGUUCAAGGGAUUGACUAUGAUGAGACUUUCUCUCCCGUAGCGAAGCUUAAGUCCGUCCGAAUCAUGUUAGCAAUUGCCGCAUACUAUGAUUAUGAGAUAUGGCAGAUGGACGUCAAAACGGCAUUCCUUAACGAGCAUCUUAAGGAAGAACUGUAUAUGAUGCAGCCGGAGGGUUUUGUCGAUCCUAAGAAUGCUAACAAAGUAUGCAAGCUCCAGCGAUCCAUUUAUGGGUUGGUGCAAGCAUCUCGGAGUUGGAACAUUCGCUUUGAUGAGAUGAUCAAAGUGUUUGGGUUUAUGCAGACUUAUGGAGAAGCCUGCGUUUACAAGAAAGUGAGUGGGAGCUCUGUAGCAUUUCUCAUAUUAUAUGUAGAUGACAUACUUUUGAUGGGAAAUGAUAUAGAAUUCUUGGACAGCAUAAAGGCCUACUUGAAUAAGUGUUUUUCAAUGAAGGACCUUGGAGAAGCUGCAUAUAUAUUAGGCAUCAAGAUCUAUAAGGAUAGAUCGAGACGCCUCAUAGGUCUUUCACAAAGCACAUACCUUGAUAAGAUUUUGAAGAAGUUCAAAAUGGAUCAGUCCAAGAAAGGGUUCUUGCCUAUACUGCAAGGUGUGAGAUUGAGCUCGGCUCAAUGCCCGACCACGACAAAAGAUAAAGAAGAGAUGAGCGUCAUCCCCUAUGCCUCAGCCAUAGGAUCUAUUAUGUAUGCCAUGCUGUGUACCAGACCUGAUGUAAACCUUGCCGUAAGUUUGGUAGGAAGGUACCAAAGUAAUCCCGGCAAGGAACACUGGACAUCGGUUAAGAAUAUCUUGAAGUACCUGAAAAGGACAAAGGACAUGUUUCUCGUUUAUGGAGGUGACGAAGAGCUCGUUGUAAAGGGUUACGUCGACGCUAGCUUCGACACAGAUCUAGAUGACUCUAAGUCACAAACCAGAUACGUGUAUAUGUUGAAUGGUGGAGCAGUAAGCUGGUGCAGCUGCAAGCAGAGCGUAGUGGCGGGAUCUACAUGUGAAGCGGAAUACAUGGCAGCCUCGGAGGCAGCGCAUGAAGCAAUUUGGGUGAAGGAGUUCAUCACCGACCUAGGAGUCAUACCCAAUGCAUCGGGGCCGAUCAAACUCUUCUGUGACAACACUGGAGCUAUUGCCCUUGCCAAGGAGCCCAGGUUUCACAAGAAGACCAGGCACAUCAAGCAUCGCUUCAACUCCAUCCGUGAAAAUGUUCAAGAUGGAGACAUAGAUAUUUGCGAAGUACAUACGGAUCUGAAUGUCGCAGAUCCGUUGACUAAACCUCUCUCGCGAGCAAAACAUGAACAACACCAGAACUCUAUGGGUGUUCGAUUCAUCACAAUGUAACUAGAUUAUUGACUCUAGUGCAAGUGGGAGACUGUUGGAAAUAUGCCCUAGAGGCAAUAAUAAAAGGAUUAUUAUUAUAUUUCCUUGUUCAUGAUAAUUGUCUUUUAUUCAUGCUAUAAUUGUAUUAUCUAGAAAUCGUAAUACACGUGUGAAUACGUCCCUAGUAAGCCUCUAGUUGACUAGCUCGUUGGUCAACAGAUAGUCAUGGUUUCCUGGCUAUGGACAUUAGAUGUCGUUGACAACGGGAUCACAUCAUUAGGAGAAUGAUGUGAUGGACAAGACCCAAUCCUAAGCAUAGCACAAGAUCGUGUAGUUCGUUUUGCUAGAGCUUUUCCAAUGUCAAGUAUCUCUUCCUUAGACCAUGAGAUCAUGUAACUCCCGGAUACCGUAGGAGUUCUUUGGGUGUACCAAACAUCACAACGUAACUGGGUGACUAUAAAGGUGCACUACAGGUAUCUCCGAAAGUGUCUGUUGGGUUGACACGGAUCGAGACUGGGAUUUGUCACUCGUAUGACGGAGAGGUAUCUCUGGGCCCACUCGGUAAUGCAUCAUCAUAAUGAGCUCAAAGUGACCAAGUGUUUGGUCACGGGAUCAUGCAUUACGGUACGAGUAAAGUGACUUGCCGGUAACGAGACUGAACGAGGUAUUGGGAUACCGACGAUCGAGUCUCGGGCAUGUAACGUACCGAUUGACAAAGGGAAUAGUAUACGGGGUUGCUUGAAUCCUCGACAUCGUGGUUCAUCCGAUGACAUCAUCGAGGAGAAUGUGGGAGCCAACAUGGGUAUCCAGAUCCCGCUAAUGGUUAUUGACCGGAGAGCCGUCUCGGUCAUGUCUGCGUGUCUCCCGAACCCGUAGGGUCUACACACUUAAGGUUCGGUGACGCUAGGGUUAUUAGGAAGACUUGUAUGUGAUUACCAAAUGUUGUUCGGAGUCCCGGAUGAGAUCCCGGACGUCACGAGGAGUUCUGGAAGGGUCCGGAGGUAAAGAUUUAUAUAUGGGAAGUUGUCAUGCGGACACCAGAAAGUUUCAGGGGCAUAUCGGUAUUGUAUCGGGGCCACCGGAGGGGUUCUGGGGGUCCACCGGGAGGGGCCACCCCUCUUGGUGGGCCAGAUGGGCCACAUGGGGCAGGGAGCCAGCCCCUGGAGGGCUGGGAACGCCCCCCUUGGGCCCAUGCGCCUAGGGUUUGGGGGGGGGACCCUAAAGGGGGCGCACCCCCUUUGCGUGGGGGGCAAGCCCCCUCCCUGGCCGCCGCCCCCCCUCUAAAUCUCAUCUAGAGGGGGCCGGCCCCCUUCCCCCUUCCCCUAUAAAUAGAGGGGUGAGGGGAGGGCUGAACACCUAAUCCAAGGCGCAGCCCCUCCCCUCCCCAACACCUCUCCUCCUCCGUUGUGUGCUUGGCGAAGCCCUGUCGGAGUACUGCCUCUCCACCAUCAUCACGCUGUCGUGCUGCUGCUGGAGCCUUCUUCCUCAACCUCUCCUUCCCCCUUGCUGGAUCAAGAAGGAGGAGACGUCGUCCAUACCGUACGUGUGUUGAACGCGGAGGUGCUGUCCGUUCAGCAUUUGGUCAUCGGUGAUUUGAAUCACGGCGAGUACGACUCCAUCAUCACCGUUCCCUUGAACGCUUCCGCACGUGAUCUACAAGUGGUAUGUAGAUGCAAUCUCUCUCCCAUGACUCGUUGCUUAGACGAACUCAUAGAUGGAUCUUGGUGAAACCGUAGGAAAAAUUUUAAUUUUCUGCAACGUUCCCCAACAGAUCCUACCCUGAUGCAUAGCCUGCUUUUGUUACCUGCUUUCAUACCUUACCUUCUUAUUCUAAAUUUCUUACUAUAGGUUUGUCGGAUUUAGGGUUCCCCAAACCCUUGAUAGGUUUGAACUCUGGGGUGCGUGCGGAGAUCUCAACCUACCCAACCUGCCUACUUGCGAUCCUCACAGCCUAGCGCGUCAAGCUCAAAGGGACAGAGAGACACAACAAUUUAUCCUGGUUCGGACCACCUUGCGAUGUAAUACCCUACUCCAGAUUUGUGGUGGAUUGCCUCGAUGGGUUGAGGAUGAACUAGUAUAGUGGAUGAACAACCUCAGGAGGUGAGGUGUUCUUGAGCUCGGGUGAGCUGGUGAAGUGGUGAGAGAGGAACGGAUCUCAUCCCCCUCUAUGGUGGUGGCUAAGUCCUAUUUAUAGUGGCCUUGCUCCUCUUUGCAAAUGUUGGUGGGAAGGGACCCCACAAUGGCCAGAUUUGAAGGGGGAGAAGAAGUAAACCCUAUCCUGAAUAAAGUGGUCUUCGCCUGCAAAAGGCUCUGGUCGUGACGCCGCGGUGGGCUCAGCGAUGACCUCCGUCCUGCCGUCCUGGCGGUCUUGGUCUUGUUGCACCAGAAUGGAAACCUUUGGCUGAUUCCUCGGGACUCCGCGCUUGCUACUUGCCUCCUUUGCGCCAAAGGGGAAAUUGGUACUCUGCACCCGCUGGCGCCCGCCUGGCCUUGGUCGUCAUGGCUCAUGUCAGCUAAAUCUCAUGAGGUGUACCUUGCAUAGAAGUCUCCGCUCCUCGAGAGUCAGCCUGAGGAGGUCGAUCCCCUUGGAGGUCUUGAUGUCGCUCACCUCGUGAGGCUUGGUCCCUCGCGAGGGUUUUGAGUUGUUGAUGCUGAAGCUGGGCCGUACCAGGCCGUCAAUGGAGCCGCGCAGUGAGCCGGAGGCAGGCAAGUCUGGGUACCUCCGUAUCCAGAACACCGAUAGUAGCCCCCGAACCCAAGGCGCGCUCUGACUUGGUUUCUAGGCGAAGCCCAAGGGUAAGUGUGGAGCACCGUGGGCCCUAACCGCCUGUGGCCUUGAACAACAUGUGGCGAUCGAUGGGACGUGGGCGUAUCCACUUCCCCAUGCUGCCUCGGCAACCAUUUGACUUGACAAGUCGAUGCUGCAUGCAGAAAAUCAUCAUUACGCAAGGUCGUGGAGGCCGGCAGUUGGCCUCCCUCCAGCUAUAAAUGAGGGAAGGGGUAGAGCCCGUCUUGCUCAUCUCUUCCUCCAUCUUCUCGCUGCUCGCCCCUUCUCCUUCUCCAUCUUGCUGUAGCAUCCAUGGCGCCACCGCGGAGGUUCUCGGCUGCUGAGAAGGGAAAAGCCCCCAAGGAGUGGCCAGCUUCCCCACCACCCAAGAGAGGCCGCGCCCGGCCCUGCAAGCACGCCACGAACCCAGCGAUGGCUCCUAGGGGUGCAGGCGUGCAUCUCCAAGGUCCGGCAUCUCCGUCGGCGCCCGUGGUGGUACUUCUUCUCGCGGCGGGGGCCACGGGCCCCGGCGCAGCCCCCACGGCGAAGGGAGGCGCGUCGUGGUUGCGUGCCCUCCUCGACCAUGCUUCUCCUUGCUAGACGUCCUCCCCGAGUUUGUGGUGUGGUCAGAGAGGCCUGCCGGCACCUCACUCUGACUUCCGCGCUUCUUCUCCAGCGAGCUGCCAUCCUCGGGGAUCGACGGCCUCUGGUUGCAGGCUGACGGCUGCUGCAGCAGGGCCUCUUUGGUGGGGACUAAGGUCGCCGGCACGGGCAACAUGGUCCUGACCCGUGGCUGGCAGACGUUCGCCCGCGCACGAGGCCUGAGCGGGACAUGCACCCUCCACUUCAAGUACGACGGCAUGGUCACCCUCUUCGUGAGGGUGUUCAAGGAGGACGGCCACCGCGUUGGGUGCUGCCUAGAAGACAGCAGUGACGACGAGCUCGGCCUUGACAUCGGCUACACCGGUGAUGAGGGUGAAUUUGGCCUUGGCGACGCCCACUCCUCCUCCCAUAGUGGCAGCUCCUCCUCGGAUGAGAGCUCGAGCAGCGGUGGCUACGACCAGCCUCCACACAGUCGAGCUCGGAUCGAGGGUGGCGGUGGGUCAUCUUGCCGCCAUGCCCCGAUGAAGCUAGAGGAAAGCCUGGCCUGAGCUCAAAGCCGACAAACUUGGACUCGAGACCUGCCACGGCCUCGGGCCACUUGCGGGUGAACUGGUGGAGUGCCGGGGGCAUCUUGAGGUGCUUCUUGAGGAUGCGGCGCUGGCGCUGGAUCCGCACGCCCUUGGGCCACUUCUGUUUAACCUUUUCUUUCUUGCGCAAUUCGGAAAAAGUAGGGUGCCCCGCUAGGGUGUGUAAUGAACUAUGGUAGUUAUGCCCUUUUAUGCAAUGCUUAUUAUCUUAAUGUUGUGCCAUGAUGUCUAUACUCUGGGUAGGCAAGGGUAGGAUAACUUAGCUUGACGUGUUUGUGGUGGCUUCCCACCUCACGAGGGCGAGGCCCUUGGCGCCUGGUGAAGCUCCCAUUACUGGUGACUCGGGAGGAGCUUAAGGCCUCGGAAGGUGUUGUAGAUCCGCUGUAGAGCUGUUUAGAGAAAAAGAAAGCCUGUCUAGCACCUCGUUCCCAUUUGCGUGAGCCCCCUCUCAUAGGUUAGCUGUGGCUUAUUGCACCAUGUCACGCUGCCUGAGGGGCAUGGACAUGAUGGGGUGCUGGUGCCCGUGAGCUUGAUCGAGAGCUCCUCGCAAGGAUAAAGCUGAAGCACUAGGGAAACGGGGUUCGGCAAGGUGUGGUCAUGCGAGGGCGGGCCCAUGAGCACACACCUGUCUAGCCCCCAUGCGCGAGGAAGGGCGACAUGCAACUGCCACACCUUCCUGGCCCAGGCUAAGAAUGAACGAAAUGAGAGAGGGAAAAUCCAACUUGGUGGACCAAAGCACGAAAGCACCAACUCCAUUAGAGACUACUAAAAGACUGCAAGCAACUUCGGAAAGCAAAUGAACAGCCGCGUCUGGCACCUAGUCUAGUCUUCUCACCAGCGCGGAGCUAAGUGCUGCCACUAGGACGUGGGAGGGAUCCCUCGUGAGGCCCCAGGGCGGCUCUCAGGAGACUUCGAGGCAUGUAUAGCCCCACUCAUUAUUACGUGAGAGUGUCACGAGCAGAGGCCUUCACAGGCCAGAGCCUUGCUUCAUGGGUAGAACUUCUGGAGGUGCUGGAUGUUCCAGGCGUUCUGGAUGGGGACCCCGUCCUGUAUCUCUAGGCAUGCGGCGCCAGGCCUAGAGACACGGGCAAUCCUAAACGGGCCCUCCCACAUGGGAGAGAUCUUGUGCAGCCCCUCCCUGGAGAUCACCCACCUCAGGACAAGGUCACCCACCUCCAACGUCCUGGAGCGGACGCUGCGGCAGUGGUACCGCCGCAGCGCCUACUGGUACCUUGCCGCUCGGAGCGAGGCUUGACGGCGGCAUUCCUGCCCCAGCACGAGAUCCAUCCCCCGUGUGGCGUCCUGAGGUGCCUCGUCGAACGCCAGGACCCGCGUGGAGUGAUGCUUGACCUCGUGUGGGAUAACCGCUUCAGCUCCAUAGACAAGGAAGAAUGGCGUCUCUCCCGUUGGCUUGGUCGCGGUGGUGCGGAUGGACCACAUCACCGAGUGGAGCUCGUUGAGCCAGCCCCUGCAGCAGGCCUCAAGCUUCUUCUUGAAGGUCCUUGCCUUGAGGCCCCUCAAGACUUCGGCAUUGGCGCACUCAGCUUGGCCGUUGCUCCUGGGGUGUGCCACUGAGGGAUAGCAUAUCUGUGUUCGAAGGUUAGCACAUUAUGUUUUGAAAAGGUUGCUAGUGAACUGCGAGCUGUUGUCGGUGAUGAUGCAGUUAGGGACCCCAAACCGGCUCACGAGGCCUUUGAUGAACUUGACGGCUGAUCCAGCUGGGAUGGUGCAGACGGCUGAUGAUGCGGUUAGGGACCCCAAACCGGCUCACAAGGACUUUGAUGAACUUGACGGCUAAUCCAGCUGGGAUGGAGCGGACGACUUCUACCUUCGCCCACAUGGUGAACUUGUCGAUGGCGACGUAAAAGUAGCGGUAGCCCCCUGGCGCUCGGGGAAACGGCCCCAAGAUGUCCAGCCCCCAGACCAUGAAUGGCCAUGUGAGCGGGAUAGUCUGGAGGCCUUGCACGGGCUGGUGGAUCUGCUUGGCGUGGAACUGGCAUGCUUCACAGGAGCGCACCAGCUCGAUGGCAUCGUUGAGUGCUGUGGGCCAAUAGAACCCACUGCAGAACGCCUUUCCCACGAGGGUGCGUGAUGAAGAGUGGUGUCCACAGUCCCCACCAUGUAUGUCUGCUAGCAGUUCGAGCCCCUGCUCCCUGGAGAUGCAUCGUAAGGAAACAUCAUUGGGCCUUUUGCGGUACAACUCACCGUCACGGAUGCAGUGCGCGCUGGCCUGAUGAGCCACGUGUUCGGCAUCCUCCUCCUUCUCCGGCAGGGUCCCUUGAAGUAGGUACGUCUUCAACUCCUCGGUCUAGCACCCCUCCUGAGGCUCGAGCGCGAGGAGCAGACGGGCCCCUGAGGGAGGGCCGCAUGCUGGGGAGCCGGUUGCUGGUGCUUGGGGUAGGUCCUCCUAAGGUGGUGCUAGUGCCGUGGUGGGGGGAACUGUCGAUGGCUUGAAGAGCCGUUCCUCAAACACCCCUGGCUCCUUAGGUAGCCUCCAGGAUGCCCUCUUGGCGAUGUUGUCCGCCUCCUUGUUCGUUCCUCACGGCACGUGCUGCAGUUCCAAGCCCAGGAACCAUUUCUCCAUCUUGCGUACUUCUUCCAGGUAUGCCUCCAUGUGCUCGUCCUCGGGUGUGUACUCUUUGCUGGAGAAGUUGAUGAGGAGCUGGGAAUCGCCCUUGAUGGUGAGACGCUUCACCCCCAGCACCGCCCCGGCCCUAAGGCCGGCGAGCAAGCCUUCAUACUCUGCGAUGUUGUUGGAGACCUUUUCGCCCUACUGAAAGCAUAGUUGUAGAAUGUAGUAGAGUUUGUCCUUGGUGGGUGAGAUGAGGACGGCCCCAGCACCUGCACCUUGUUGUGAGAACGUGUCGUCGAAGUACAUGAUCCACCCGCCUGGUGCCUCGUCUGCAGGCAAGAGGGAGCGAUCCUCGCUUAUCCCGCGGCCAGGGACAUCAGACCAUUCUGCCAUGAAAUCUGCAAGGGCCGCGCCCUUGAUGACUCUGGUGGUGCUGAACUCGAGCUGGAACGCCUGGAGCUCGGUGUUCCACUCUGCAACCCGCCCGGUGGCAUUAGGGCUCCGGAGCACCCUCUCUAGUGGGUAGUCUGAAACGACCUUGAUGGGGUGGCCUUGGAAGUAGUGGCGCAACUUUUGGGAGGCGAGGAGGAGUGCAAGUAAGAGCUUUUGGGGCAUGAGGUAGCGUGCUCGUGCCUCCCGUAGUACUGUGCUGACGAAGUAGACCGGGUGCUCGACGAGGGAAGAGGUGUUGGUGAGGUCUUGUGUUUCUUGAGGAUGCGGGCCUUCGGGGGUCCCAUCUCCUGCCGUGCCAAGUGCGUCCUCGCGAGUGUCAGCCUCAGGAGCCCCCCCUGGGCCGAGGGGUCGGGUUUAGCCUCGGGAGGAAUGUUGGUCGUAGAGUCAGCCGAGGCCUCAGGAGCACCGUCCUGAGGCUGCUGUGCUUUGCUUGGUGGCUGAGCGCCCUGCUGAGGGUCCUUGAUUGUGCGCUCCUCUCGUAGCACCAUCAGGGCGGUGCUGGCAGAGUGAGGGGUGGCAGCCAAAUAGAGCACCAGGGGCUUGAGAGGGUGCGGCGCCACCAUCACCGGCGGGCUGGUCAGGUAUCUCUUGAGGUCUUGAAAGGCCGCAUCAGCCUCAGGAGUCCACUCGAACGGCCCCUUCUUUUUCAUCAGCUUGAAGAACGAGAGGGUGCGUUCCCUGAGAUUGGAGAUGAAGUGCCCCUGUGAGGUCACGCAACCCGCCAGCUUCUGCAUCUCCUUGAGCGUCUGCGGAGGGCUCAUGUCUUCUAUUUCCUUGACCUUCUCCGGAUUGGCCUCGAUUCGUCUGUGUGACACUAGGAAACCUAGUAGCUUUCCAGAGGGAACCCCGAACACGCACUUCUCGGGAUUGAGCCGCAGGUCCACCUUGUGCAAGCUGGCAAACGUUUCCUCCAGAUCCUCAAUCAGGGUCCUCGCCUCCCGAGACUUCACCACUAUGUCAUCAACAUAGGCCUCAGCAUUCUCCCAAGCUGCCGGCCAAGGGUGAUGUGCAUCAGCCGUUGGAAGGUAGCCCCAACAUUGCGUAGCUAGAAAGGCAUGUAGGUGUAGAAGUACACCCGCAGGGGGUCAGGAAUGCCGUCUUCUCCACAUCUUGCACGGCCAUCUUGAUCUGGUGGUAGCCCGAGAAAGCGUCCAAAAAGCACAAUAGGUCGCACUCGGCGGUGGAGUCAACGAUCUGGUUGAUGCGUGGAAGCGGGAAGGGAUCCUAAGGGCAAGCCUUGUUGAGGUUGGCGAAGUCAACACACAUGCGCUCCUUCCCUCCUUUCUUGGGGACGACGACUGGGUUUGCCAGCUAUUGCGGGUACCGAACCUCCCGGACGACUCCAGCAUCCUGCAGCUUGCGGGGUUCUUGGAUAAUGAAUGCUUGCUUCUCGGUGGACUAUCGACGGGCCUUCUGCUUCACCGGGCGCACGUUUGGGCAUACCUUCAGGUGAUGCUCGAUUAUUCCCCUUUGAACCCCGACCAGGUCCUUGAGCUCCCAUGCGAACACAUCCUUGUUGGAGCGCAAGAAGUUGACCAAUGCUUUCUCUUGGUCCUGGGGGAGGCCAGCUCCUAUGGUGAAGGUGACGCCUGACGCCCCAUCCUCAUUGAUGUCUACUAUGCAACUUUAUUCUUGUAGACACGUGUUGGGCCUCCAAGCGCAGAGUUUUGUAGGACGGUACAAUUUUCCCUCAAGUGGAUGACCUAAGGUUUAUCAAUCCGUGAGAGGUGUAGGAUAAAGAUGGUCUCUCUCAAACGACCCUACAAACAAACACAAGAAAUCUCUUGUGUCCCCAACACACCCAAUACAAUGGCAAAUUGUAUAGGUGCACUAGUUCGGCAAAGAGAUGGUGAUAAAGGUGUAAUAUUGAUGGUAGAAAUAUAUUUUUAUAAUCUGAAUAAAUAAAAACAGCAAGUAGAAAAUAGUAAAUGGGCACAAAAACGGUAUUGCAAUGCUUAGAAACAAGGCCUAGGGUGCGUACUUUCACUAGUGCAAUCUCUCAACAAUGCUAACAUAGUUGGAUCAUAUAACCAUCCCUCAAAGUGCAACGAAGAAUCACUCCAAAGUUCCUAUCUAGCGGAGAACAUAAGACGGAAUUGUUUGUAGGGUACGACACCACCUCAAAGCUAUUCUUUCGUUAGAUCUAUUCAAGAGUUCAUACUAAAAUAACACAAAGCUAUUCUUUUCGUUUGAUCUAUCCUAGAGUUCGUACUAAAAUAACACCAAAUCAAAUAUAGAUUUAUAAUAUUCAAUCCAACACAAAGAACUUCAAAGAGUUACCCAAGAUUUCUACCGGAGAAACAAAGCCAAAAACGUGCAUCAACCCCUAUGCAUAGAUUACCCCAAUGUCACCUCGGGAAUCCGCGAGUUGAGUGCCAAAACAUAUAUCAAGUGAAUCAAUAUGAUACCCAUUGUCACCACGAGUAUUCAAUUGCAAGACAUAUGUCAAGUGUUCUCAAAUCCAUAAAAUUAUUCAAUCCGAUAACAACGAAAUCUCAAAGGGAAAAACUCAAUUCAUCACAACAAGAUAUAGAGGGGAAACACCAUAUGAUCCGACUAUAUUAAUAAAGCCCGCGAUACAUCAAGAUUGUGCAUCUCAAGAAGAUGAGAGAGAUAGAGAGAGAUUAAACACAUAGCUACUGGUACAAACCCUCAGCCUCGAGGGUGGACUACUCCCUCCUCAUCGUGGUGGCCGCCGGGAUGAUGAAGAUGGCCACCGGUGAUGAUUCCCCCUCUGGUAGGGUGCCAGAACGGGGUAUAGAUUGGAUCUCGUGGAUACAGAGGCCUUGCAUCGGCGGAACUUCUGAUCUAGGGCUACCCCGAAGGGUUUUGGAAUAUUUGGAAUUUUAUAGGGCGAAGAAGGGGUGCGGGAGGCCACCGAGGUGGGCACAACCCACCUGGGUGCGCCUGGGGGCCCAGGCGUGCCUUGGUGGGUUGUGCCCCCCUCGGAGCACCCCCCAGGUGCUGCUCUGGCCCAUGCUGAGUGUUCUGGUCCAUAAAAGAUCCUCCAGGAGUUUCGCGGUGUUUGGACUCCAUUUGAGAUUGAUUUCCUGCGAUGUAAAAAAACAAGCAAAAAAUAGCAACUGGCACUGGGCACUGGAUCAAUAGGUUAGUCCCAAAAAAUGAUAUAAAGUUGUUAUAAAUGAUUGUAAAACAUCCAAGAAUGAUAAUAUAAUGGCAUUAAUACUUCAUAAAUUUUAGAUACGUUGGAGACGUAUCAACAUCCCCAAGCUUAAUUCCUACUCGUCCUCGAGUAGGUAAAUGAUAAAAGAAAUAAUUUAUGAAGUGUGAAUGCUAGCAAAGUGCAUAAGUUUGAUCAAUGAUAAUUUCAAUCACUUUUCCUAGCAUCAUAACAACAAUUAUUUCUUAUAAAAAUUCUCAUGUUAUAGUAGCAACCAAUUCACAUGUUAAGGUUCAAACAAUGAAUUCUCUUGAAACUCAACAACCUAUGUUAUCAGUCAUCAAGCAAUUGCAAUUCAACUUAUUCAAGAACAAAGUCUAAGUAAAAGCUCCACAUACUCAACCAUCAUAUAGUCUUUUAUGAUUGCUAACACUCACCGCAUACACAUGAGCAAAACGUUUCAACAGGACACAUAGAAAGAUAGGGGCUUAUAAUUUUGCCUCCCAACGUAUUCACUUUGGGUGAUGUCAACAAUAAUAACUCAUGCUACCCAUAUUCCGCUGGACAUAUGUGCCUAGAUCUUUCCUCACCACAUGAUGCUUGCCAAAGGAGAACAAUAAAAAGGAAUAGAAAGAAAAACUUUGGCUCUUGCAUAAAAGUAAAUACAUAGUAAAAGAUAGGCCCUUCACAGAGGGAAGCAGAGGUUGCCAUGCGCUUAUUUGUUUGUGUGCUCAACCCCUUAAUGCAAAAGAACGUCACGUUAUAUUGCCCCUUACGAUAGCAACCUUUAUUAUGUAGUCUAUCGCGUUUAUUCUUUGCCAUCACAAGUUCCUACAACGCUCAAUUUUCUCUUACACUAAAUGAUCUAACACUUUUAAAAGCAAUUUUUAUUGCCUUAUUGCACCGAUGAAAACUUACUUGAAGGAUCUUACUCAAUCCUUAGGUAGGUAUGGUGGACUCUUGAAACAAGAUUUGGGUUUAAGGGUUUUGGAUGCACAAGUAGUAUCUCUACUUGGUGCAAAUUUUUUGGCUAGCAAAGAUAGGGGGCAAGCACCACAUGUUGAAGGAUCUAUGACAAUAUAACUUCUAUGUGAAUAUGUACAAACAUAAAUCAUUAUGUUGUCUUCCUUGUCCAACGUCAACAAUUCUGGCAUAUAAUAUUUUGAUGGGGGCUCACAAUCACAAAAGAUUUCCAAGAUAGUGUAUUUGCAUGUGAAAGUUCUCUUCCUUAUACUAAUUAUUCAUGAAUUGCUUGUAUGACAAUAUUGUGAUUGUCAAGCCUCAAAAGAUUUCACUUUCUAAACCCAAUGUGAAGCUACCACUAGGCAUGAUAUGGUUUCAACUUCGUGAUACUCAAUUCAUUCAACAAUUUACUCAUAGGAUAUAAGUGAAGCACUAGAGCAAUUCCAUAGAAAAGAGCUUCGUUGAUGGGAUGUGAAUGCCGCUUACCUAGCCUCCUAUUUGAGGACUCUAUUUUAUUUAAAAAAUUUCAGGUCUAAGUAUUUUAUUAAAACAUCAAGCAAAAUGAAAAUAAAAUGACAUUUCAAGAGUAUCACAACUCAUGUGAAGAAGCAAAAACUUAGGCUCAACCGAUACUAACCGAUUAUUGUUGAAGAAGAAAGGUGGGAUGCCUACCGGGGCAUCCCUAAGCUUAGAUGCUUGAGACUUAUUGAAAUAUUAGCUUGGGAUGCCUUGGGCAUCCCAAGCUUGAGCUUUUGUGCCUCCUUAAUUCUUCUCAUAUCACGAUUUUCCUAAGUUUGAAAAGCUUCAUCCACACAAAACUCAACAAGAACUCGUGAGAUCAGUUAGUAUAAACCAAUGCAAAACCUUAUCAUUCUCUACUGUAGCAAAUCACUAAAAAAAAUUCAACAUUGCAUACUAAAUGCCGCUGCAUAUUUAAUAGUCCUAUCCUCAAAUAGAAUCAUUAAACAAGCAAACAUAUGCAAACAAUGCAAACAUAACAGCAAUCUGCCAAAACAAUACAAUAUGUAAAGAAUGCAAUAUUCAUCAUACUUCCCUAACUCCAAAAAUUAUGAAACAAACUAAACACUAUAGAAACUUUAUCAGAUAUUAUUUUGCAAAAAAUUUCAACAUUUUAUCAUAUUCUGACUUUUCUAGGGAAUUUUUGCAACAUCGAUAAACUUUCUGUUUUCAAACAGCAACAUGUAUACUUGCAAAACAAGCAUGGCAAAGGCUAUCAUUUCCACUUUUAUUGGAAUAAAAGAUGCAAAACAUUAUUCUAAAUAACAGAAAGCAAAUCCUAACAAAAUAAAUUGACGCUCCAAGCAAAACACAUAUCAUGUGACGAAUGAAAACAAAGUUCCAAAUGAGGUUACCGAUAAUGUUGGAGAUGAAAGAGGGGAUGCCUCCCGGAGCAUCCCCAAGCUUAGUUGCUUGGAUCUUCCUUGGAUAUUACCUUGGGGUGACUUGGGCAUCCCCAAGCUUAGGAUCUUGUCACUCAUUAUUCUCCUCAUAUCGACAUCUCAUCCAAAACUUGAAAACUUCAAUCACACAAAACUUAACGGAACUUUGUGAGAUAGGUUAGUAUGAUAAAGAGCAAACCAAUACACUUUUGGUACUGUAAAAUACAAGAUUCAUAAUUGUUUCCACACAAUGCCUACUGUAGCAUAUCAUUUCCACAAUUCAUAUUGAGCAAUAUAAGCCAUAGAAACAAGGAAAAAGCAAACUAUGCAUUGAAAACAGAAUCUGUCAACCAUACUUCUGCUACUCCAAAAAUUAUGAAACAAAUUGGACCACGUGAGAAAUUUUUAUAUUAAUAUUCUUCAAAAAGAAUCAACUCAAAAGCACUCUUCUGUUAAAAAUGAGAGCUAUUUUCGUGAGCACAAUAGUUUCUGUUUUUCAGCAAGAUCAAAUCAACUAUCACCCAACAUGAUCCCAAAGGCUUUACUUCAUACUUUAUUGAAACAAAAGCAAUAAAACAUGAUUACUACAGUAGCCUAAUCAUGUGAACAUACAAAAACAGUAGGUAAAAGUGUUGGGUUGUCUCCCAACAAGAGUUUUUCUUUAAUGCCUUUUAGCUAGGCAUGUUGAGUUCAAUGAUGCUCGCAUAAAAGAUAAGAAUUGAAACAUAAAGAGAGCAUCAUGAAGCAUAUGACUAGCACAUUUAAGUCUAACCCACUUCCUGUGCAUAGGGAUUUUGUGACCAAAUAACUUUUGGGAGCAAGAAUCAACUAGCAUAGGAAGGCAAAACAUGCAUAACUUCAAAACUUUCAACACAUAGAGAGGAAACUUGAUAUUAUUGCAAUUCCUACAAGCAUAAGUUCCUCCCUCAUAAUAAUUUUCAGUAGCAUCAUGAAUGAAUUCAACAAUAUAGCCAUCACAUAAAGCAUUAUUUUCAUGACACAAAAGCAUAGAAAACUUAUUACUCUCCACAUAAGCAAAUUUAUUCUCAUGAAUAGUAGUGGGAGCAAACUAAACAAAAUAACUAUCAUGUGAUUGAAAAUUAAAAUCAAGAUGACAAGUUCCAUGGUUAUCAUUUUUCUUUAUAGCAUACAUGUCAUCACCAUAAUCAUCAUAGAUAGGAGGCAUGCUUUCAUCAUAAUAAAUUUUCUCAUCAAAACUUUGGGGGGACUAAAAAUGUCAUCUUCAUCAAACAUAGCAUCCCCAAGCUUAUGGCUUUGCAUAUCAUUAGCAUCAUGGAUAUUCAAAGAAUUAAUACUAACAAUAUUGAAAUCAUGCUCAUCAUUCAAAUAUUUUGUGCCAAACAUUUUAUUGACUUCUUCUUCUAACAAUUGAGCACAAUUUUCCGAUCCAUCACUUGCAAGAAAGAUAUUAUAAAGAUGAUCAAUAAUAUGAUGCAACCUCAAUUCCAUUUUUAUGUAGUUUUCUUUUAUAAACCAAACUAGUGAUAAAACAAUAAACUAAAAGAUUCAAUUGCAAGAUCUAAAGAUAUACCUUCAAGCACUCACCUCCCCGGAAGCGGCGCCACAAAAGAGCUUCGUUGACGGGAUUUGAGUGUCGUUUACUUAACCUCCUCGACAACGGCGCCAGAAAAGAGCUUGAUGUCUACUACGCAACUUUAUUCUUGUAGACACGUGUUGGGCCUCCAAGCGCAGAGUUUUGUAGGACAACAAUAAUUUUCCCUCAAGUGGAUGACCUAAGGUUUAUCAAUCCGUGAGAGGUGUAGGACAAAGAUGGUCUCUUCAAACGACCCCGCAACCAAAUACAAGAAAUCUCUUGUGUCCCCAACACACCCAAUACAAUGGCAAAUUGUAUAGGUGCACUAGUUCGGCGAAGAGAUCGUGAUAAAGUUGUAAUAUUUAUGGUACAAAUAUUUUUUUAAUCUAAAUAAAUAAAAACAUCAAGGUAGCAAACACAAAAAUGGUAUUGCAAUGCUUAGAAAUAAGGCCUAGGGUGCAUACUUUCACUAGUGCAAUCUCUCAACAAUGCUAACAUAGUUGGAUCAUAUAACCAUCCCUCAAAGUGCAAGGAAGAAUCACUCCAAAGUCCUUAUCUAGCGGAGAACAUAAGACAAAAUUGUUUGUAGGGUACGAAACCACCUCAAAGCUAUUCUUUCCAUUUGAUCUAUUCAAGAGUUUGUACUAAAAUAACACAAAGCUAUUCUUUCUGUUCGACCUAUCCUAGAGUUCGUACUAAAAUAACACCAAAGCAAAUUCAGAUUUAUAAUAUUGAAUCCAACACAAAGAACUUCAAAGAGUGCCCCAAGAUUUGUACUGGAGAAAGAAAGCCAAGAACAUGCAUCAACCCCUAUGCAUAGAUUACCCCAAUGUCACCUCAGGAAUCCACGAGUUGAGUGCCAAAACAUAUAUCAAGUGAAUCAAAAUGAUACCCCAUUGUCACCACGAGUAUUUAAUUGCAAGACAUAUGUCAAGUGUUCUCAAAUCCAUAUAAGUAUUCAAUCCGAUAACAACAAAAACUCAAAGGAAAAAACUCAAUUCAUCACAACAAGAUAGAGAGGGGAAAACACCAUAUGAUCCGGCUAUAUCAAUAAAGCCCGCGAUACAUCAAGAUUGUGCAUCUCAAGAACACAAGAGAGAGAGAGAUUAAACACAUAGCUACUGGUCAAACCCUCGGCCCCGAGGGUGGACUACUCCCUCCUCAUCAUGGUGCCCACCGGGAUGAUGAAGAUGGCCACCGGUGAUGAUUCCCCCCUCCGUCAGGGUGCCAGAACAGAGUCUAGAUUGGACCUCGUGGAUACAAAGGCCUUGCGGCAGCGGAAAUUCUGAUCUAGGGCUACCCCAAAGGGUUUUGGAAUAUUUGGGAUUUUAUAGGGCGAAGAAGGGGUGCGGGAGGCCACCGAGGUGGGAGCAACCCACCUGGGCGCGCCUGGGGGCCCAGGCACGCCCUGGUGGGUUGUGCCCCCUCGGUGCACCCCAGGUGCUGCUCUGGCCCAUCCUGAGUGUUCUGGUCCAUAAAAAAUCCUCCAGGAGUUUCGCGGUGUUUGGACUCUGUUUGAUAUUGAUUUCCUACGAUGUAAAAACAAGCAAAAAACAGAACUAGCACUCGGCAUUGGGUCAAUAGGUUAGUCCCAAAAAAUGAUAUAAAGUUGCUAUAAAAUUAUUGUAAAACAUCCAAGAAUGAUACUAUAAUGGCAUGAAUACUUCAUAAAUUAUAGAUAUGUUGGAGACCUAUCACUCAUCAACUGGCACUUGCUUCGUCUCGGCUCGGUCUUGGGAAAACAACUGCUUCUUCUUGGCUGGUGCUGCCCCCAGAGCCUUAGGACCCCCUUUCUCUCUCGGGAGCACGGACGCCGUGGACCUGAAGACGAGCUUGAGAGCCUACAACGCGUCCUUGGUGUCCCCUGCCACCGUGAGGACACCACUGCUACCUGGCAUCUUCAUGAGGUUGUGGGCUGGAUGAGUUGCUGCCAUGAACUUGUCCAGGGCUGGGUACCCAAGGAUGGCGUUAUAUGGUAGGUCGAUCCAGGCGAUGUCAAAGUCGAUGAGCUCAUUGCGGUAGUUGUCGCGGGUCCCAAAGGUGACAGGGAGGCGGAUCUGCCCCAGGGGGCUGGUGGAGCCAUCGCCGACCCUGGAGAAGGGCUUGAUGGGGUGGAGCCGGCCAGGGGGCACGUGCAGCAGGUCGAAUGCCUCCGCGGAGAGCAUAUUGAGGUCGGCUCCAACGUCGAUGAGGGUCUUGGUGACCGCCAUGUUGCAAAUGGCGGGGGUGCAGAGCAUCAGGAGCGCGCCUGCUCCCACCGUGGUCGCUGGAUAAUCUUCUGGGCUAAAGGUGAGGUCGGCCUUAGGCGCCCAGCCCAGAGGAGCCCCCGAGCUCACCUGGGCAGCGCUUACUUGGUGGUAGAACUGCUUGAUGUGGCGGACAGAGGGUGGUGCUUGCGAGCCACCUAGGAGAGCUGUGAUGAUGGGGGCGCCAGCGGCGCGAAGUGUGCGAUGAAGAGGCCGUAAGGCUCCUCCCAGGAGGUCACAGAGGACUCCGGCAGUUGAGUGAUAAUCCCCAAGUGCAGAGAAUCAUCAUAGCAAUUUCCAAAGGUGUAAGUGAUAAGCAUGGAGUGUCGAACCCACAAGGAGCUAAAGGUAAGAUCAAUAUUCUCUCAAGUCCUAUCUGCCACUGAUACGACUCUACGUGCACUGAACGUUUGCUUCCAACUAGAAACGAGAAAUAAAAUUAGGUUGUGGGUAUGAAGAGGAUAACUUUGCAUGAUAUCAGAGAGCUAAAAUAUAAAAGUAGGUGUUGUUAUCAUAAAGUAAGAAUAUAUUACUAAAUAUUAUAAAUAACGAGUGUGGAAUAAUGAUGGGUCGGUGUGCGGAAUUAUCCUAGGAAAUUGUUAACAAGACCAGUAAUCACUAUUGUAAUUUCAUAUGAGGGAGAGGCAUAAGCUAACAUACUUUCUCUUCUUGGAUCAUAUGCACUUAUGAUUGGAACUCUAGUAAGCAUCCGCAUCUACUAAAGAUCAUUAAGGUAAAACCCAACCAUAGCAUUAAAAUAUCAAGUCCCCUUUAUUCCCAUACGCCAUGACCCACUUAUCCGUGUUUAUGCUUCUGUCACUCAAGCAACACAGACAAUAAUUAAACCAUGGACAUAUUGCAACACCCUAGAACAGGAAUCCCUCGCGCUUGUGCGACACAGAGGGCACAAUAGGACAACACCAAAAUAAAACAUACAACUCCUACCAAUCUGGAUCAUGAAUCAAUCCAAAGACAAAGGAUAUCUACUCAAAACAUCAUAGGAUGGCAACACAUCAUUGGAUCAUAAUAUGUGGCAUAAGGUACCAUGUUCAAGUAGGGAUUACAGCGGGGCGCGGGAGAGUGGAUCGCAUAAAAGAGAUGAGGAUGGUGAUGGUGAUGUUGAUGAAGACGAUCACCGCGGCGAUGACUCCCCUCCCGAUGGCACUCCGGCGCCACCGAGAGAGAGGAGGAGAGGUUCUCCCCCUUGUGCUCCUUCCUCCAUGGCCUCCCCCUGGAUGGGGAGAGGUUCCCCCUCUGGUCCUUGGCUUCAUGGCGAUGAUGGCCCCUUCGAGAUCCUUCCCCAUGGCCUCCGAUGAUGAUGUCCCCCUUCGGUAGGGUGCCAGAGAGGGCCUAGAUUGAUUUCUCGUGGCUACAGAGGCUUGUGGCGGCGGAACUCCCGAUCUAGGUUAAUUUCUAGAGGUUUGGGCAUUUAUAGGAGAGGUUGGCGUCGAGGACAAGUCAGGGGGCCCACACAGGGAGUCCACGAGGCACAGGGGUGCACCCCCACCCUCGUGGAGCCCACAGGACUCCCCUCCGGUAGAUUUUUGUUCUAGUAUUUUUUAUAUUUUCCCAAAAAAAUCUCCGUUGAUUUUCGGCACAUUCCGAUAACUUUUAUUUCUGCACAAAAACAACACCAUGGUAGUUCUGCUGAAAACAACGUCAGUCCGGGUUAGUACUAAUCAAAUCAUACCAAAAUCAUGUGGAAAUAUUAUAAACAUGGCAUGGAUACUUCAUAACCUAUAGAUACGUUGGAGACGUAUCAGCAUCCCCAAGCUUAAUUCCUGCUUGUCCUCGAGUAGGUAGAUGAUAAAAGAAAUAAUUUAUGAAGUGUGAAUGCUAGCAAGUGCUUAAGUUUGACCAAUGAUAGUUUGAAUCACCUUUUCUAGCAUCAUUAUAUAUCAUAAUAGUAGCUCAACUCAUAAAACUUCUCAUGAUCAAGUAACAAGCUAUUAACAUGUUAAAGUAUAGAUCAUAAACUUUCUUGAAAACUAACAAACCCUGCUCUUAGUCAUCAAACAAUUGCAAUUCAUCUUAUUUUCGGGAAGGGUCUAUGUAAGAGCUUUGAUUCAGCAAACUCCACAUACUCAACUAUCAUUUAAUCUUUCACAAUUACUAAUACUCAUGUGACAUUUAUGGGUUCAAGGUUUUAAUCAGACACAAAGAAAGAUAGGGGCUUAUAGUUUCACCUCCCAACCUUUUAUCUCAAGGGUAAUGUCAACAAUAAUAAUUUAUGAAAACCUACAUCCAAGUGGAUAUAUGUAUCCGGAUCGCUCCAACACAAGGUUCUUGCCAAAGGAAAAAGUGUAAAAAGGAAAGGUGAUGAACACCAUGACUCUUGAAUAAGGGUAGAAGAUAAAAGUAGAAGAUAGGCCCUUCGCAGAGGGAAGCAAAGGUUGUCAUGCGCUUUUAUGGUUGGAUGCACAAAAUCUUAAUGCAAAAGAACGUCACUUUAUAUUGCCACUUGUGCUAAAGACCUUUAUUAUGCAGUCCAUCGCUUUUAUUUCUUCCCUAUCACAAGUUCGAAUAAAGCUUAUUUUCUUUGCACUAAUAGAUCGUGCAUAUUUAAGGAGCAAUUUUUAUUGCAUGCACGAUGACAACUUACUUGAAGGAUCUUACUCAAUCCAUAGGUAGGUAUGGUGGAAUCCCAUGGCAAAACUGGUUUAAGGGAUGUUUGGAAGCACAAGUAGUAUCUCUAUUUGGUGCAAAGAAUUUGGCUAGCAUGAGAGGGAAAGGUAAGCUCAACAUGUUGGAUGAUCCAAGACAAUAUAGCAUUUCGGAUAUAGGAAAACAUGACCCAUUAAGUUGUCUUCCUUGUCCAACAUCAACUUUUUAGCAUGUCAUAUUUUAAUGAGUGCUCACAAUUAAAAAAAAUGUCCAAGAUAGUAUAUUUAUAUGUGAAAUCUCUCUUCCUUCAAUAUUCUUUCAUGAAUUGUUCAAGUGAUCAAUUCUGCGUUUGCUAACUUUCAAUAAAUUACCACCUAUACUUAUUAUGUGUGAAGUCAUUACUCCCCAUGGUAUAAGCAUAUGAAACAUAUAUAGAUUCAGAUCUAUGAUAUUCAAUUCAUUCAACCAUUUACUCAUAGGAUAUAGGUGAAGCACAUGAGUAAAUGACAAACUACUCCAAAAAGAUAUAAGUGAAGAACACUGAGUAGUCAAAUAAUUUUUUUUGAACCUUUGUAGUCAAAUAAUUAACUAGCCAUGGGAAGAUUAUAUUUCCAUUCAAGAUUUCAGAUCCAAUGAUUUUAUUCAAACAACAAGUAAAAUUGAAAAUACGCUCCAAGAAAAACACAUAUCAUGUGACGAAUAAAAAUAUAGCUCCGAGUAAGGUAUACUGAUAGUUUUUGAAGACAAAAGAGGGGAUGCCUUCCGGAGCAUGCCCAAGCUUAGGCACUUGAGUCUUACUUGAAUAUUACCUUGGGGUGCCUUCGGCAUCCCCAAGCUUAGGGUCUUUCCACUCCUUAUUCUCCUCAUAUCGAUAUCUCACCCAAAACUUAAAAACUUCAAUCACACAAAACUUAACGGAACUUCGUGAGACGGGUUAGUAUGAUAAAGAGUAAACCAUUCACUUUGGUACUGUAAAAUACAAGAUUCAUAAUUGUUCUCACACAAUGCCUACUGUACCCUAUCAUUUCUACAAUUUAUAUUGAGCAAUAUAAGCCAUAGAAACAAGAAAACAAGCAAACUAUGCAUAUAAAACAAAAUCUGCCAGAAACAGAACAUUCUGUAAUGAACUACACAUAUACCAUACUUCUGCUACUCCAAAAAUUAUGAAAUAAAUUUUUUCACGUGAGGAAUUUGUCUAUUAAUCAUCUUCAAAAAGAAUCAACUCAAUAUCACUCUUCUGUAAAAAAAUGAUAGCUAAUCUCGUGAGCGCAAAGUUUCUGUUUUUUACAGCAAGAUCACAUUAACUUUCACCCAAGUCUUCCCAAAGGUCUUACUUGGCACUUUAUUGAAAUAAAAGCUAUAAAACAUGAUUGCUACAGUAUCUUAAUCAUGUGAACACACAAAAACAUUAAGGGUAAAUAUUUGGUUGUCUCCCAACAAGCGCUUUUCUUUAACGCCUUUUAGCUAGGCAUGAUGAUUUCAAUGAUGCUCACAUAAAAGAUAAAAUUGAAAUAUAAAGAGACCAUCAUGAAGAAUAAGACUAGUACAUUUAAAUAUAACCCACUUCCUAUGCCUAGGGAUUUUGUGAGCGCAUAGUUUAAAGGAACAAGAAUCAACUAGCAAAGGAAGGCAAAACAAGUAUAUCUUCAAAACUUUAAGCACAUAGAGAGGAAACUUGAUAUUAUUGCAACUCCUACAAGCAUGUGUUCCUCCCUCAUAAUAAUUUUUAGUAGCAUCAUGAAUGAUUUCAACAAUAUAACCAUCACAUAAAGCAUUAUUUUCAUGAUCUACAAGCAUAGAAAUUUUUCUACUCUCCACAUGAGCAAAAUUCUUCUCAUUCAGAAUAGUGGGAGCAAACUCAACAAAAUAACGGUCAUGUGAGGCAUAAUCCAAUUGAAAAUUAAAAACAUGAUGACAAGUUUCAUGGUUGACAUUAUUCUUUAUAUCAUAAAUGUCAUCACAAUAAUCUUCAUAGAUAGCAACUUUGUUCUCAUAAUCAAUUGGAACCUCUUCCGAAAUAGUGGAAUUAUUACUAACUAAAGUUGACACUCUUCCAAAUCCACUUUCAUAAAUAUCACACUAAGAUUGAACACUGAAAGAACAAGUGCUCCUUGGGUGGUUUUGGUAAUCAAUGUCAGCAUAUCUCUUGUUGUAGUAACACUUUUAUCUAGUAUGUUUCAGACAAGUUCAACAAUGGAGUGGCAUGGACUAAAGGAUGUGGAACCCCUUCAAGAUGCUAAGGACAAAGGAUUGGCUCAAGAUUCAAGCUCAAGACUCCACAUUUUACAUUUUAGUGAUCCAAGAUCACAUUGAGUCUAUAGGAAAAGCCAAUACUAUCAAGAGGGGAUGAGGUGUUGCUUAAUGAGUUUCUUGCUCCACAGUGCUUAGUGAUAUGCUCCAAAGCCCUCAACUACUUUCUCACAUCCACUUAUGACCUAAACCUAAAGUCAAACUCGGCCCCACCAAUUCUUUCUAUCCGGCGCCACCGAGUUCAGAUGUCAUAGCCACUGCCACAAACCCUAGGCAAAUCGGUCUCACCGAUAGGGAUCUCGGUCUCACCGAGAUGGGAUUGUAAUCUCUCUGUGUAUGUCCAUUAUCAAAAUCAGUCUUACCGAGAUUGAGCAAUCAGUACUACCGAGAUUACAAUGCAAACUCUCUGGUUAACUUAUUACCAAAAUCGGUCCCACCGAGUCUGUGUAAUCGGUCCCACUGAGUUUGCCUGACCAACUCUCUGGUUAGCUUAUUGCCAAAAUCGGUCUCAUCGAGUUUGUGUAAUCGGUCUCACCAAGAUUACGUUAUGCCCUAACCCUAACCAUAUCGGUCCUACCGAGUUGCAUGUUGGUCCCACCGAAAACCCUAACGGUCACAUUGUUUACUAAAUCGGUUUGACCGAGUUUGUUGAUUCGGUCCCGCCGAGAUUGAUAAAUUGUGUGUAACGGUUAGAUUUUGUGUGGAGGCUAUAUAUACCCCUCCACCUCCUCUUCAUUCGUGGAGAGAGCCAUCAGAACAAACCUACACUUCCAACUUACCAUUUCUGAGAGAGAACCACCUACUCAUGUGUUGAGGCCAAGAUAUUCCAUUCCUACCAUAUAAAUCUUGAUCUCUAGCCUUCCCCAAGUUGCUUUCCACUCAAUUCUUCUUUCCACCAGAUCCAAAUCCUGUGAGAGAGAGUUGAGUGUUGGGGAGACUAUCAUUUGAAGCACAAGAUCAAGGAGUUCAUCAUCAACACACCAUUUGUUACUUCUUGGAGAGUGGUGUCUCCUAGAUUGGCUAGGUGUCACUUGGGAGCCUUCGACAAGAUUGUGGAGUUGAACCAAGGAGUUUGUAAGGGUAAGGAGAUCGCCUACUUCGUGAAGAUCUACCGCUAGUGAGGCAAGUCCUUCUUGGGCGACGGCCAUGGUGGGAUAGACAAGGUUGCUUCUUCAUGGACCCUUCUUGGGUGGAGCCCUCCGUGGACUCGUGCAACCGUUACCCUUUGUGGGUUGAAGUCUCCAUCAACGUGGAUGUACGAUAGCACCACCUAUCGGAACCACGGCUCAAAAAUCACCUCGUCUCCAAAUUGCGUUUGAAAUCUCCAAACCCUUCCCUUUACAUUCUUGCAAGUUGCAUGCUAUACUUUCCACUGCUCAUAUACUCUUUGCAUGCUUGCUUGAAUUGUGUGAAGAUUGCUUGACUUGUGCUAAGAUAGCUAAAAUCUGCCAAAGACUAAAAUUGGAAAAGGCAUAGUUUUUAAUUGGUCAAGUAGUCUAAUCACCCCCCCUCUAGACUUACUUCUCAAGAUCCUACAAGUGGUAUUAGAGCUUUGGUCUCCAUUGCUUUGGUUUAAUCACCAUUGGAGGAAGAUGGAUGAGUCUACUUUGGGGAGUCUUAGACAUCGAGUGCCUAUACUUGAUGGAGAAUAUUUUCAUGAGUGGAAAAAUGAGAUGCUUGUAAUUUUCAAUCAAUAUCAUUUGAACAAGUACAUUGCUAGUCCUUGUGCACCCUAUGUUGAUCCUAUGCAUCCUACCCUUUAUGAGUCGAUUGACAUGAUUAGGAAUGUUAGAACUGUUAAUCUUAUCACUAGAGGCUUGCCUAGAAACUUGAUUGGAAAACUGCCUACUCUUGAGUGUGCCUACACCAUAUGGAAAUUUCUUGAGGAACGAUUUCCUGAUUAUUCUUUGAAAAAUCUGGAUGAAAUUCUUCAUAAGUCGAUUGCCUUGAGUAAGAUGAAUUCCAAUGAUCCUAUGUUUGGUAAUUGUCUAUUUAAACUUAUAAAUCUUAUGCGUGCCAAAGGAAAUGUUGGAAUUAUUAGCGAUAUUAUUUCCGAAGCUACUAGACUUCAUAGAGGAGAUUAUUGUUAAAAUCAUACUAAUGAAUCACCCUCACUAGGAAUUGAUCCACCACAUGACGAUGUUGAACAUGGAUACUAUGAUGAGGAUGAUGAUGAUCACUUUGAUCUCGAUGAUGCAAUGAGACACUUUGGUCUUAUGGCAAACCUUCAGGGAUAUAUGGCAGGAGGAAAGGAAUGGGUUCUUGACAGUGGAUGUACCGAUCACAUGACCGGAGAUAAAGACAUGUUUCGUGAGCUUGCUGAAAAUGAUGGUCCUCGAAAGUAUGUUACUUUCGGUGACAACUCAAAGGGUAAGGUAGUUGGCCUCGGUAAGUUGGCCAUCUCACAUGACAGCUCCAUUCAGAAUGUUAUGCUUGUUGAAUCUCUUGGCUAUAACUUACUUUCAGUAUCUAGACUUGCUAAUUUCGGUUUCAAUGUCCUAUUUACUGAAGUAGAUUGCCAAGUGUUUCAUAGAGACAAUCAUAAAAUGGUCUUUACCGGUAUAUGUAGAGGUGAUCUUUACAUUGUUGAUUUCACUAAAAAGGCUCAACCUAGAACUUGCUUCAUUGCUAAAUCCUCUAAAGGAUGGUUAUGGCAUAGACGACUAGGUCACGUUGGCAUAAGAAACCUUGACAAGCUUAUUAAAGGGAAUCAUAUCCUUGGUGUUAACGAUGUCAUAUUUGAUAAGGAUAGACUUUGCAGUGCUUGUCAAGCAGGUAAACAGGUUGGAGGAAGGCAUCCCAUGAAGAACAUCAUGACCACAAGGAGGCCACUUGAGCUACUUCACAUGGAUCUUUUUGGUCCCAACGCUUACAAAAGUCUCGGUGGAAAUUCUUUUGGUCUAGUUAUAGUUGAUGAUUUUUCAAGAUUUACGUGGGUGUUCUUUCUCGAUGACAAAUCGCAGGUCCAAAAGAUCUUCAAAAACUUCGCCAGGAAGGCUCAAAAUCAAUUUGAAGUGAAGAUCAAGAAGGUUCACAGCGAUAACGGAACGGAGUUCAAGAACGCAAAUGUGGACACCUUUCUUGACGAAGAAGGGAUUUCACACGAGUUCUUGGCUACGUACACACCUCAACAAAAUGGAGUUGUUGAGAGGAAGAACCGGGCGCUCAUCAAAAUGGCUAGAACGAUGCUUGAUGAGUACAAGACGCUGAAGCACCUUUGGGCAGAAGCGGUUGAGACAGCUUGUCAUGCAACAAAUUGCUUGUAUCUACACAAGCUACUUGGCAAGACGGCAUACGAGCUCCUCACCGGUAACAAACCCCAAGUUGGAUACUUUCGAGUAUUCGGCUCAAAGUGCUACAUUCUUGAUAAGCAUCGUCAUUCUAAAUUUGCUCCUAAGUCUCAUGAAGGUUUCCUACUUGGUUAUGGCUCAAACUCUCACACAUACCGUGUCUACAACAAUUUCACCCGAAAGGUUGAAGAGACGGUAGAUGUGAAGUUUGAUGAAUCUAACGGCUCGCAAGUAGAGCAAUUGCCAAUUGAUGUAGGAGACAAAGACCCCUCGGAAGCAAUCCAAGACUUAUCUAUUGGCAAGAUUCGUCCAACGGGGGUGAAGGAGAGUACCUUGUUUGUCCAAGUGGAAGCUUCUACUUCACGACAAGGUGAACCAAGAGUUGAUACGGAAGCAUCCACAAGUGGGACACACCAAGAUGAAGAAAACGAGGAAGUACAUCAAGAACGUCAACAACCUCCUUCUCCACCACCACAAGAGAACAACAACGCCAAUAAUGAAGAAGGCCAAGAAGAAGAAGAACAAGAUGAAGAAGAUUUUCAACCAAGACCCAAGCAAAAGCUUUCACGAGUUCGAGCAAGAAUUGCUAAAGACCAUCCCGUCGAGCAAAUCUACAAUGAUAUCCAAACCGGGAGAAUAACUCGCUCUAAAACUCGCUUAGCUAACUUUUGUGAACACUAUUCAUUCAUCUCUAGCAUUGAACCUAUGAAGGUCGAAGAAGCAUUGGAAGAUCCGGAUUGGAUAAAUGCUAUGCAUGAAGGGCUACACAACUUUGAGAGAAAUCAAGUUUGGACACUAGUUGAGAAGCCCGACAACAACCACAACAUCAUCGGUACCAAAUGGGUGUUUCGCAACAAGCAAGAUGGAGAUGGACAAGUGGUUAGCAACAAAGCACGUCUCGUCGCCCAAGGCUACACACAAGUCGAAGGUAUGGACUAUGGUGAGACUUAUGCUCCCGUUGCUAGACUUGAGUCCAUUCGCAUCUUACUUGCCUAUGCUAAUCACCAUGAUAUCACCUUAUACCAAAUGGACAUUAAAAGUGCCUUUCUAAAUGGUGAAAUAGAGGAGGAAGUCUAUGUUAAACAACCUCCCGGCUUUAUCAAUCCUAAGAAACCCAAUCAUGUUUACAAACUACGCAAAGCUCUUUAUGGUCUUAAACAAGCUCCUAGAGCUUGGUACAAAUGCUUAACCAAGUUCCUUAUUGAAAAAGGCUUUGAAAUUGGAAAAAUUGAUUCUACACUUUUUACUAAAAGGGUUAAUGGAGAAUUAUUUGUAUGCCAAAUUUAUGUUGAUGAUAUAUAUUUGGAUCAACUAACCCUCAUUUUAGUGAGAAGUUUGGAAAGCUAAUGUCGGAGAAGUUUGAGAUGUCAAUGAUGAGUGAACUCAAAUUCUUUCUUGGGUUGCAAAUCAAGCAAACUAAGGAAGGUACUUUUGUCUCUCAAACGAAGUACACUAAGGACUUAUUCAAGAAGUUCAAUAUGCAAGAAUGCAAAGGUAUGUCUACACCCAUGCCUACUAGUGGACAUCUUGAUUUGACCAAAGACAGUGAACCGGUUGAUCAAAGGUUUAUCGCUCUAUUAUUGGUUCAUUGUUAUACCUAUGUGCUUCACGUCCUGAUAUUAUGCUAAGUGUGUGCAUGUGUGCAAGAUAUCAAGCUGCUCCUAAAGAAUGUCAUCUUAAGGCCAUGAAAAGGAUAGUGAGAUAUUUAAUUCAUACGCCAAAUUUUGGCAUUUGGUAUCCUAAGAGGGCCUCUUUCGAUCUUGUUGGCUACUCCGACUCGGACUAUGCCGGGGACAAGGUUGAUAGAAAGUCCACUCAGAGUACUUGCCAAUUCCUUAGUAGAUCUCUUGUGUCUUGGUCUUCCAAGAAACAAAACUCGGUAUCCUUAUCCACCGCCGAAGCGGAAUACAUUGCCGCUGGUUCAUGUUGUGCUCAAUUACUUUGGAUGACCCAAACUCUUAAGGAUUAUGGGAUAUAUGUGAAACAUGUUCCAUUACUUUGUGACAAUGAAAGUGCUAUCAAAAUUACUGAUAAUCCUGUGCAACAUUCUCAAACUAAGCAUAUUGAAGUUCGUCAUCAUUUCAUUAGAGAUCAUGUUGCUAAGGGUGACAUUAAUCUUAAGCAUGUUCACACCGAAAAGCAAUUAGUGGAUAUUUUCACUAAACCACUUGAUAAGAAAGUGUUUUGCAGGUUAAGAGGUGAAUUGAACAUCAUUGAUGCUUCAAACUUGGAGUACAAACUCCAUUAGAUACAUGCAAGACAUGAGCUUAAGACUAAUCCUUGAUAUUUCUCUUAUGAUGAUAAUCCAAUGUCUUGGAUAUAUUUGCACCUUGCAGGUUAUCUAACCCAUGUAGGUACUUGGUUGAAUCAAAUUCCAUGAGAUUGUAACCUACUCAUAUCUUGAGAAAUCUCUACAUCACCAAGUCUCUACACUAUGGUGGUUGAAGACAAGGAAGCACGGAACCAUUCAAACAUAUCUUUUGACAAAUUCUAUGUUCAUGAUUGUCAUUUUGGACACACAAGUGCUCUUCCUUGCAAGAACUAACCCAUGUAGGUAGAUGAACUCAAAUUCCAAGUGGUGCUCCCAACUCUUGAUGAGCUACAUCAACCUUGAGCAACCCACACAAGUUCAACUACAUGAUCAACACCACCAUCCAAGGUAUGUCAUUCCAUCUUAGAGAAGCUUUACUCCAAGACAUGAGUUAAAGCAACUCGACAAGAUGUGAAUACAUCAAGAUGCUUAAACGAAAAAUGUUAACCCCAUUUUGAGCUUAAACGAUGAGUAUGACCUAUGAUCAAGUGAUCUCACUUGACUCCUAAGUCAAUAUACUCUAACAUAGGUGACUUUGUCGCCGACCAAUUCUAGAUGAAGUUCUCUUGUGUUAUUUUCUAUGCUCUUGCAUUUGUCUCUUGCAUGUUUGUUUCCCCUUUCAAAAAAAAACUUCAUCUAGAUUUCCUUUGCAGUUUCUUCUUGUUUUCUGUUUGUUCUGCAUUUCCUGAAUCCAAUUCAUUGCAUAUCAUUCAGUUAAUUCCUUGUGAAUCAUUGUGAGAUCUUACUAGUCUAGUGAGCUGAGGUGACAUGUGUUUUCUCUACGAUGAACUCGGUCUCACCGAUUUGUUGUUUUCGGUCCAACCGAACCCUUUCGGUGCAACCAAAGCAUACCACUCGGUGCCACCGACUUCACAACAGGAAAAACAUUUUGCCACUUAUUCCUCUUUAUCUUCUAAUCCAGCUCCACUCAAUGAAUCGUGUCCUCUACAAGCAUCACAUUUUUAUCAGUGCUUUGUACUGUGACUCAAGGACCUCACCCAUUCACGACAAAUUCCAGAAGGCCCUUCUUGGAAAUUGAUGUGAAAGAGGGAUAGAGAGGUCACAUCAAAGCUUAUCACUUUCAAAGGGAGAGAGAGUAUCACUCCCACAGGGGGAGAGAGAGAUCUCCAGGGGAGAGAAUACUCAAGAAGAGAGUAAUCCUCAAGGAUCCCAGAUGCUUGGUGUUCAAGAGGAGAGAUACCAGAUGUCUUCUUGAGGGGAAAGACACAUUCAUAUGUGCUUAUUUGCAUUAGCUCUGAUUUUCUGUUCCCUAUCUUCUCCAAGCAUCCCAUGCUAGAUUCAGGGGGAGCAAGACAUCUAAGGGAAAGAAAUCAUUUAAAUUCAUUGCAUAUCUUUACCUUUGGGGACAUGUCAAAUCUAAUGUGGUACUUGUUGGGGAACGUUGCAGAAAAUAAAAUUUUUCUACGCUUCACCAAGAUCAAUCUAUGGAGUUCAUCUAGCAACAAGAGAGAGGAGUGCAUCUACAUACCCUUGUAGAUCACGAGCGGAAGCGUUCAAGAGAACGGGGUUGAGGGAGUCGUACUCAUCGUGAUCCAAAUCACUGAUGAUCCUAGUGCUGAACGAACAACACCUCCGCAUUCAACACACGUACGGUUGAGGAAGACGUCUCCUCCUUCUUGAUCCAGCAAGGGGGAAGGAGAGGUUGAUGGAGAUCCAGCAGCACGACGGCGUGGUGGUGGAAGCAGCGGUGAUCUCGGCAGGGCUUCGCCAAGCUCAGCGAGAGGGAGAGCUGGUACGGGGGGAGAGGGAGGCGCUAGGGACUAGGGUGCGGCUUCCCUCCCCCCUCUUUAUAAUAGGGGGCCUAGGGGGUGCUCCGGCCCUAGAGAUCCCAUCUCCAAGGGGGGGGGGGCCUAGGGGGGGGACUUGCCCCCCAAGUCAAGUGGGGCGCCCCCCACCCCUAGGGUUUCCAACCCUAGGCACAGGGAGGCCCAAGGGGGGCGCACCAGCCCACCAGGGGCUGGUUCCCUUCCCCUUUCAGCCCACGUGGCCCUCCGGGAUAGGUGGUCCCACCCGGUGGACCCCCGGGACCCUUCCGGUGGUCCCGGUACAAUACCGGUGACCCCCGAAACUUUCUCGGUGGCCGAAACUGGACUUCCUAUAUAUAAUUCUUUACCUUCGGACCAUUCCGGAACUCCUCGUGACGUCCGGGAUCUCAUCCGGGACUCCGAACAACUUUUGGGUUUCACGUGCUAAUGUCUCUACAACCCUAGCGUAACCGAACCUUAAGUGUGAAGACCCUACGGGUUCGGGAAUCACGCAGACAUGACCGAGACAGCUCUCCGGCCAAUAACCAACAGCGGGAUCUGGAUACCCAUGUUGGCUCCCAUAUGUUCCACGAUGAUCUCAUCGAAUUAACCACGAUUUUGAGGAUUCGAGUAACCCCGUAUACAAUUCCUUUGUCAAUUGGUACAUUACUUGCCCGAGAUUCGAUCAUCGGUAUCCCAAUACCUCGUUUAAUCUCGUUACCGGCAAGUCACUUUACUCGUACCAUAAUGCAUGAUCCUGUGACCAACCACUUGGUCAUAUUGAGCUCAUUAUGAUGAUGCAUUACCAAGUGGGCCCAGAGAUACCUCUCCGUCAUACGGAGUGACAAAUCCCAGUCUCGAUCCGUGUCAACCCAACAGAUAUUUUCGGGGAUACCCAUAGUAUACCUUUAUAGUCACCCAGUUAUGUUGUGACGUUUGGUACACCCAAAGCACUCCUACGGUAUCCGGGAGUUACACGAUCUCAUGGUCUAAGGAAAAGAUACUUGACAUUGGAAAACCUCUAGCAAACGAACUACACAAUCUUGUGCUAUGCUUAGGAUUGGGUCUUGUCCAUCACAUCAUUCUCCUAAUGAUGUGAUCCCGUUAUCAAUGACAUCCAAUGUCCAUAGUCAGGAAACCAUGACUAUCUAUUGAUCAACGAGCUAGUCAACUAGAGGCUUACUAGGGACAUGAUGUGGUCUAUGUAUUCACACAUGUAUUAUGAUUUCCGGAUAACACAAUUAUAGCAUGAAUAACAGACAAUUAUCAUGAACAAGGAAAUAUAAUAGUAAUCAUUUUAUUAUUGCCUCUAGGGCAUAUUUCCAAUAGUACUUAGUGCUCACUCUCUACAUGUCAUCCCAGUCUUGGUAUUCUUUUGGUUUCUUCUGUUUGCUCUGGCUAGUAGGUGUAUCUAUAUUAUCUAACCUUGUUUACGCAGGUUCAUUCCAUCCCAAGCCAACUCAAGACCACAAGGUAAAUUUAUGCAUCACAGUCAUGUGUAUGAGGAAUUCUUGCUGUUGUACAUAUUGUUUGCAAGAAGGACUUAUGAGCAUGAAGGUACAUUUCCCACAUACACAUCUGUUGGUAUCUUUUGCUCUGAUGCAUAUGGCCAAGAUACAUGUAACACUUUGCUUACUCUGACAUGUUCAUGCAUUCACAUGCUUCUACAUUCCAUAUUCACAUGAUUGCAUACAUGUAGGGGGAGCCUAUGCUUGUUACAUGUCUUUCCAAAGCUUUACUUGCUAUUCUCUAUAUCUUUAUCUAAAGCUUUGAUGUAUGUUGUCAUCAAUUACCAAAAACGGGGAGAUUGAAAGCACAAGUGCUCCCUGGGUGGUUUUGGUAAUUAAUGUCAACAUAUCUCUUGUUGGACUAACACUUUUAUCUAGUAUGUUUCAGACAAGUUCAACAAUGGAGUGGCAUGGACUAAAGGAUGUGGAACCCCUUCAAGAUGCUAAGGACAAAGGAUUGGCUCAAGCUUCAAGCUCAAGACUCUAUAUUUUACAUUUUAGUGAUCUAAGAUCACAUUGAGUCUAUAGGAAAAGCCAAUACUAUCAAGAGGGGAUGAGGUGUUGCUUAAUGAGUUUCUUGCUCCACAGUGCUUAGUGAUAUGCUCCAAAGCCCUCAACUACUUUCUCACAUCCACUUAUGACCUAAACCUAAAGUCAAACUCGGCCCCACCAAUUCUUUCUAUCCGGCGCCACCGAGUUCAGAUGUCAUAGCCACUGCCACAAACCCUAGGCAAAUCGGUCUCACCGAUAGGGAUCUCGGUCUCACUGAGAUGGGAUUGUAAUCUCUCUGUGUAUGUCCAUUAUCAAAAUCAGUCUUACCGAGAUUGAGCAAUCAGUACUACCGAGAUUACAAUGCAAACUCUCUGGUUAACUUAUUACCAAAAUCGGUCCCACCGAGUCUGUGUAAUCGGUCCCACUGAGUUUGCCUGACCAACUCUCUGGUUAGCUUAUUGCCAAAAUCGGUCUCAUCGAGUUUGUGUAAUCGGUCUCACCAAGAUUACGUUAUGCCCUAACCCUAACCAUAUCGGUCCUACCGAGUUGCAUGUUGGUCCCACCGAAAACCCUAACGGUCACAUUGUUUACUAAAUCGGUUUGACCGAGUUUGUUGAUUCGGUCCCGCCGAGAUUGAUAAAUUGUGUGUAACGGUUAGAUUUUGUGUGGAGGCUAUAUAUACCCCUCCACCUCCUCUUCAUUCGUGGAGAGAGCCAUCAGAACAAACCUACACUUCCAACUUACCAUUUUUGAGAGAGAACCACCUACUCAUGUGUUGAGGCCAAGAUAUUCCAUUCCUACCAUAUAAAUCUUGAUCUCUAGCCUUCCCCAAGUUGCUUUCCACUCAAUUCUUCUUUCCACCAGAUCCAAAUCCUGUGAGAGAGAGUUGAGUGUUGGGGAGACUAUCAUUUGAAGCACAAGAUCAAGGAGUUCAUCAUCAACACACCAUUUGUUACUUCUUGGAGAGUGGUGUCUCCUAGAUUGGCUAGGUGUCACUUGGGAGCCUUCGACAAGAUUGUGGAGUUGAACCAAGGAGUUUGUAAGGGUAAGGAGAUCGCCUACUUCGUGAAGAUCUACCGCUAGUGAGGCAAGUCCUUCUUGGGCGACGGCCAUGGUGGGAUAGACAAGGUUGCUUCUUCAUGGACCCUUCUUGGGUGGAGCCCUCCGUGGACUCGCGCAACCGUUACCCUUCGUGGGUUGAAGUCUCCAUCAACGUGGAUGUACGAUAGCACCACCUAUCGGAACCACGGCUCAAAAAUCACCUCGUCUCCAAAUUGCGUUUGAAAUCUCCAAACCCUUCCCUUUACAUUCUUGCAAGUUGCAUGCUAUACUUUCCACUGCUCAUAUACUCUUUGCAUGCUUGCUUGAAUUGUGUGAAGAUUGCUUGACUUGUGCUAAGAUAGCUAAAAUCUGCCAAAGACUAAAAUUGGGAAAAGGCAUAGUUUUUAAUUGGUCAAGUAGUCUAACCACCCCCCCCCUCUAGACUUACUUCUCAAGAUCCUACAAACACCCUCCAAAAUAGUGGGAUCACUAAUUCCUAAAGUUUACACUCUUCCAAGCCCACUUUAGAUGAUGAUAUUAUUCAUACUCCAAAAGAUAUAAGUGAAGUUCAUGGAGCAUUCUAUAAUUAAUAUAGACUAACCAAUAUCCAAGCUCAAAAUAUAUAAGUGAAGCACAUGAAGCAUUCCAUAAAACCAUACUCAAAAUAUUUAAGUGAAGCACAAAGAGCAUUCUAUAAUAUCAUUGAAGGUUAUCUCAUACUAGCAUGGUUCCUAUAGAAAAAGAAAAACACAAAGGACACAAAUCAUGUGAACAAAACAAAAACCAAGGUAUACCGAUAAUUGUUGAAGAAGAAAGAUGGGCGCUCUAGCUAGGCGCAUGACCGCCCCACCCUACUCCAACCUCUAGCUAGGCCAUUCCUCUACUCACCCACAACCCCUGUUAUUCUGCGGCGACAGCAGCCUCACACCGCAGUCGAACCUGCCAACCCUCGUACUCCUCUCUGUGUGGGCAUCCACUGUCGUGUCUUCCCCGGCUCCGUGUCGUCCCCUUCCUAGGCCUUGCCGUCAUCCACCGCCUUGGUGCUCUCGGCGCGGAGUGGUCAAUGUGAUCAAGGAACGACUUCCAUCGGAAGAGUACUAUACGUGAAGAGGCUAACAGUUGGGUCCACGACCGCAGCAAGGAAGUGCCUCUUUAUUACGCGCAAAAUAAUGAUUCCUCCACCUGAUAGCAGGGACCCACCGAACGGGCCACCAUAUUUCACAAAAAAAACGUUCCCCCUAACUGCUGGGACCCACCAGGUACAUCUUCGCACGCAAGGAAGUGCCUGAUAGUCGGGACCCACCUAGUAGAAGCGUAUGUAGCGUUGUCAUUCUGGUCGCGAACGUGUAUGUACAUACUGGUCGAUGGGUCUAUCUGUAGGCUACAGCGAUGAACCGUGGCCGAGUAAGGAAGGGCACAUGUCGUAGUAGAGGCGCGCACGUAGCAUGUACACGUAUGUAUAUCCAGGGUACAAGAAAGUAAAUACAACCACGUACGUACUUACGGGCAGGGUCUUAAAUGCCUACUUGCGCAUACGUACGGCCAGGGCUUGUGUACAUGGAGAGGCAGCGACGGUGUCCUGUUCAUGGGCAGCCAACCGACUGGGUCGAAACGGAGAAACUGCAUCGUCAUGUUCAUUGGGAGGCAACCGGCUUGGAUAGAACAGACGAUUGAAACGAGGCCUGGCAUACCGUAGAACGGAGGAAACGGCCUUGUGUUUGACCGCCAAGGGUCAAAACGGGAUGCUGUUCAUCGGGAGGGGUCUGGCGUACUCCAAAACGGAGGAAACAGACUUGUGUUCGAGUGCCUACAGUCGAAACAGGGUCCUGUUGAUCGGGAAGGGUGUGGCGUACCGCAAAAUGGAGGAAACGGGCUUGUUUGGAGUGCUACGGUCGAAAUGAGGGUCCUAUUCAUCGGGAGGGGUGUGGCGUACCGCAAAACGGGCAUCCACGGGCUACUGUUCAUCUCCACCGUCGACCUCCUCCAACCUCCACGGGCUAGUGUUCAUCCACCGUCGACCUCCUCUAGCCUCCACCUGCGACUGUUCAUCCACGGUCUCCUGUUCAUCCAGCCUCCACCGCUCCUCCAUCGGCUACUGUUCAACCACCCCUCUUCACGGGGUCCUAUUCAACCACCCCUCCAUUGGCUACUGUUCAUCCAGCCCUCCACCGGCUACUGUUCAACCAACCCUCCACGGGGUCGUCCUGUUCAUCCAGCCCUCCACAGGGUCCUGUUCAUCCACCCCCAACCGGCUCAAUCGAUCGGGGUCCUGUUCAUCCAGCGGCAAUGGCCUCUACUACCAUGGGGUCCUGUUCAUCCAACCCUCCAUCGGGAACUAUUCAUCCAAACCCCCCCAACAAUGCUCACUGUUCAUCAAGGGAAGGAGGCAGCAGGUUCGAUCGGCUUCAGUUAGCAGCAGUAGCGAAGGAAUCGCUCGAUCGGGUUCCGUUAACAACAAGGGACCGAUCGGGGGUCAGUAACGUAUCUAGUGCAAUCGCUAGGGUUCAGUAGGUGUACGCCUCGCUUGGGUUCAGUUAGAGCCGAACGUCUCGCACCCACACACGUACGUGUACGAGAGAAACGCGCAAUCCCUUCGUGCAUCGCCCGGCCCCGACCACCCACCGUAAUCAGGAACUCCCCGAAAUUUUCCUCGCCCUCGCUUUUACCAUGAUUUUUUCUGUCAUGGACGGCCCAAAGAAUGUCAUGCAGGUGCGUCUCCGGCCCGCCCAGGACAAAAGCCCAUUUUCUGUCAUGAUUUUUUAUCAUAGAAGUAGGAGCUCACCACAUCUAUGAUGAUACCGGGUUUUGUCAUAAUUACCGUCAUAGAAGUGUCAUAAGUAUGACAGAAAAAAAAUUCAUUCGGCCCAAAAUAUCACGGAUGUGUCUUUUUUUUGUAGUGAUGGGCAGUAGCCUUCACGACCUCCGGCGCCGUCGCGGCCAUGGCGUUAUUGUUGUUCCUCUGCGGCUCAUGCAUUUAUCGCCAUGCAGAGCGGUGCGACAACCUGAUCGGCAGCUUCUACCAAGUCGUCUUUGCCGCCUACCGGAACCGCAAGUCCAAUGUGUCACCGGACUUGUUGAUCAUGUACGAGGGCAACGGUGCAAAGAAGCUGGCUCACACUUCAGGCCUCAGGUCAGCCUGCCCUCUAGUGAAUCAAUCGAUACAUAACUAGCAAAUCAAGGUAGUUUGGGUUAGUUUGGUUUUACUAACUUGCGGCCGGGUUAAAAGGGAGCUCUAUUUGGCACGUGAGGCGUGCCCUAUAUUUUUUUUGUUUUUGGGUUUUACUUUUUUCCUAUUUUUGUUUUAUUCUAUGUCAAAAUAAUUUGGCAUCAAAAAAAGUUCUAAAAAUUUAAAAGAACUGUGAAUUUUUAAUAUUUAGAUGAACAUUUUUUAAUUUUAACGAACAUUUUUAUGAGGAUUUUUAAUACUGACGAACAACUUUUUGUAUUUGAUGAACAAAUUUUGAAUUUGAUGAGCAUUUUUUGACCUUGAUGAACAUAAUUUGUAUUCAAGAACAUUUUUAGAAAAAUGAUGAACACAUUUUUUAUUCAAUGAACAAAUGUUGAAUUUGAUGAACAAAAUUUGUAUUCCAGAACAUUUUUGUGAAAAAGAUGAACAAUUUUUUAUUCAAUGAACAAAUUUUGAAUUUGAUGAACACUUUUUGAAAAAUGCUGAACACAUUUUUUAUUCAAUGAACAAAUGUUGAAUUUAACUACGCCUAUGGUGUCUCAAUAUAGCCGGUCCCAAGCCCGGGCAAAGGAGGAGGGUUGUGAUAGGCUUGGCGAGCCAGCAUAAAAACUCAGCCACUCUAUGGAGAUGAAACCCAAAAGAUUUUCAUUGGGGCGUGACCUUCUCAGCGACGCGCCACAUCGGAACCCGGGUGUGGUGGCAAAUGUUUGGCAAGGGUCGGGCCGUCACCCCCUGGUGGCGCGCCGUAUCUUGAUCUGGAUAUGGUGGCAAGUGAGCGAGGAUCCGGUCGUCGCAUCCUUAGUGGUGCGCUACAUCGGCGCCCGGAUGUAGUGGAAAAUGAGCAAGGGUCUUCGCAUUUGACUCGACGAGUGCAAAGGGUAAGGAAGGUAGCCGAGCCUAGGAGGAUUCACUUAGGUAGCUAGAACGUAGAGUCUCUAACAGGGAAGCUUCGAGAGCUUGUGGAUGCAGCAGUGAGGAGAGGUGUUGAUAUCCUUUGCUUCCAACAAACCAAAUGGAGGGGACAGAAGGCGAAGGAGGUGGAGGAUACCAGCUUCAAGCUAUGGUACACGGGGACGGCUGCUAAUAGAAAUGGCGUAGGUAUAUUGAUCAACAAGAGCCUCAAGUAUGGAGUGAUAGACGUCAAGAGACGUGGGGACCGGAUUAUCCUGGUCAAGCUGGUAGUUGGGGACUUAGUUCUCAAUGUUAUCAGCGCGUAUGCCCCACAAGUAGGCCACAAUAAGAACACCAAGAGAGAGUUCUAGGAAGGCCUAGAAGACAUGGUUAGGAGUGUACCGGUUGGUGAGAAGCUCUUCAUAGGAGGAGACCUCAAUGGCCACGUGGGUACAUCUAACAUGGGUUUUGAAGGGGCGCAUGGGGGCUUUGGCUAUGGCAUCAGGAAUCAAGAAGUAGAAGAUGUCUUAAGCUUUGCUCUAGCCUACGACAUGAUUGUAGCUAACACCCUCUUUAGAAAGAGAGAAUCACAUCUGGUGACUUUUAGUAGUGGCCAACACUCUAGCCAUAUCGAUUUCAUCCACUCGAGAAGAGAAGAUGGGCGUGCGUGCCUAGACAAUAAGGUGAUACCUGGAGAGAGUGUUCUACCCUAGCAUAAGCUGGUGGUUGAUGACUUCCACUUUCGGAUUCGUGUCCAGCGGGAUAAGCGUGCCAGAGUCACUAGAAUGAAGUGGUGGAAGCUCAAGGGGGAGGUAGCUUAGGCGUUCAGGAGAGGUGCGUUAAGGAGGGCCCUUGGGAGGAAGGAGGCGAUGCGAACAAUGUGUGGAUGAAGAUGGCAACUUGCAUUCGUAAGGUGGCCUCAGAGGAGUUUGGAGUGUCCAAGGGAAGGAGAAGCGGAGAUAAGGAUACCUGGUGGUGGAAUGAUGAUGUCCAGAAGGCGAUUAAAGAGAAGAAAGAUUGCUUGAAACGCCUAUACCUGGAUAGGAGUGCAGACAACAUAGAGAAUUACAAGAUGGCGAAGAAGGCCGCAAGGCGAGAUGUCAGUGAAGCAAGGGGCCGAGCAUAUGAGGAGCUCUACCAACGGUUAGGCAUGAAGGAAGGCGAAAGGGAGAUCUAUAAGAUGGCCAAGAUCCGAGAGAGGAAGACGAGGGAUAUUGGCCAAGUCAAAUGCAUCAAGGACGGAGCAGACCAACUCUUGGUGAAGGACGAGAAGAUUAAGCAUAGAUGGCGGGAGUACUUCGACAAGUUGUUCAAUGGGGAGAAUGAGAGUUCUACCAUUGAACUGGACGAUUCCUUUGAUGAGACCAGCAUGCGCUUUGUGCGGCAAAUCCAGGAGUCCGAGGUCAAGGAGGCGCUAAAAAGGAUGAAAGGAGGCAAGGCAAUGGGCCCUGAUUGUAUCCCCAUUGAGGUGUGGAAAGCCUCGGGGACAUAGUGAUAGUAUGACUAACCAAGCUUUUCAACCUCAUUUUUUGGGCAAACAAGAUGCCAGAAGAAAGGAGACUAAGUAUAUUAGUACCAAUCUUCAAGAACAAGGGGGAUGUUCAGAGUUGUACUAUUUACCGUGGAGUUGAGCUGAUGAGCCAUACAAUGAAGCUAUGGGGGAGAGUCAUUGAGCACCUCUUAAGAAGAAUGACAAGCGUGACCAAAAAUCAGUUUGGUUUCAUGCCUGGGAGGUCGACCAUGCAAGCCAUUUUCUUGGUACGACAAAUUAUUGGAGAGAUACAGGGAGCAAAAGAAGGACUUGCAUAUGGUGUUCAUUGACUUGGAGAAGGCCUAUGAUAAGAUGUCGCGGAAUGUCAUGUGGUGGGCCUUGGAGAAACAUAAAGUACCAGCAAAGUACAUUACCCUCAUCAAGGACAUGUACGAUAAUGUUGUGACAAGUGUUCGAACAAGUGAUGUCAAGACUGAUGACUUCCCGAUUAAGAUAGGACUGCACCAGGGGUCAGCUUUGAGCCCUUAUCUUUUUGCCUUGGUGAUGUAUGAGGUCACAAUGGAUAUACAAGGAGAUAUCCCAUGGUGUAUGCUCUUUGCGGAUGAUGUGGUGCUACUUGACGAUAGUCGGACGGGGGUAAAUAGGAAGUUAGAGUUAUGGAGACAACCUUGGAAUCGAAAGGGUUUAGACUUAGUAGAACUAAAACCGAGUAUAUGGUGUGCGGUUUCAGUACUACUAGGUGUGAGGAGGAGGAGGAAGUUAGCCUUGAUGGGCAGGUGGUACCUCGGAAGCACACCUUUCGAUAUUUAGGAUCAAUGCUUCAGGAGGAUGGGGGUAUUGAUGAAGAUGUGAACCAUCGAAUCAAAGCCGGAUGGAUGAAGUGUCGCCAAGCUUCUGGCAUUCUCUGUGACAAAAGAGUGCCACAAAAGGUAAAAGGCAAAUUCUACAGGACGGCGGUUCGACCUACAAUGUUGUAUGGCGCUGAGUGUUGGCCGGCUAAAAGGCGACAUGUUCAACAGUUAGGUGUGGCGGAGAUGCGUAUGUUGAGAUGGAUGUGUGGCCACACGAGAAAGGAUCGAGUCCGAAAUAAUGAUAUACGAGAUAGAGUUGGGGUAGCACCAAUUGAAGAGAAGGUUGUCCAACAUCGUCUGAGAUGGUUUGGGCAUAUUCAACGCAGACCUCCAGAAGCUCCAGUGCAUAGCGGACGGCUAAAGCGUGCGGAGAAUGCCAAGAGAGGGCGGGGUAGACCGAAUUUGACAUGGAAGGAGUCCGUUAAGAGAGACCUGAAGGAUUGGAGUAUCACCAAAGAACUAGCUAUGGACAGGGAUGCGUGGAAGCUUGCUAUCCAUGUGCCAGAGCCAUGAGUUGGUCGCGAGAUCUUAUGGGUUUCACCUCUAGCCUACCCCAAUUUGUUUGGGACUAAAGACUUUGUUGUUGUUGUUGAACAAAAAUUGAAUUUGAUGAACAAAAUUUGUAUUCCAGGACAUUUUUAAAAAAAAGAUGAACAAUUUUUUAUUCAGUGAACAAUUUUUUUAAUUUGAUGAACAUUUUUUGAAAACAGUGAACAAAAACAGGUUGUGUGGGCAUUAGUCGGCAGAUACCCAGAAAUAUUUCAUCUAAAUUAUAAUCACCAGCUGUUUAUAAACUUCUCGCUGUGUGCUGAUUCUACUCUAACGUUUUAAUUCUGAUGAUGAGUCGCGCACGUGACAGCCUUGAGAAAUCAUCAACCACCGUGGCACACACGUUGUGUGGAGGGUGCACUGAGAUCUAGCUCGAGCUACUAUCCCCGCGUCGCGUCCGCGCGCGGGAGCCGGACACGACACCACGACUCGGCUACACCGCUGCACCACGGAUGCCGUUCUACCGGUGGCUAGAGCUUGGAACUGAAUCUACAUUCACGCACCGGCCAGCAGAGACAAGACAUGCACUGCAUGAAAACAUGGACAAAGAUCCACACAAAUGGAGAUUCCAUAUCGACAUCAUCAACGUACAAAACAGCCACCGCAACUAAUCACAACUCUCACUCAUGGCACACAGUACAAAUCAGGUCCCGAUCGAUUAUUUCGCCACCAGCAGCACGAACUCAUCUAGUAGCAGUACAAUCUCCGUGCCGCGGCGCGGUGCACGCGGAUCACGGGGCCGACACGCACGGCCCCGCAACUUAUUGCUACCACCACCCGCCACCAACCACAACACACGAGGAGGCCGGCGUACUCGAUC